rnacentral:lncRNA from 1 species
CGAGAUACAGAGCCUAGUAUGGCUGAGUGCCUAUGAGCGAGCCUAGUAUGGCAGAACAGUUAUAUGUACUGAGCAUUACAGGGUCGGACAACUAUUUCACUUACUAUAUUUAGAGGUUAAGUCAGUACUAGUAGGUGAGCAUAUCUUCAAAUCAUAUUUGACUCCUAGUUAUUUUCAGUUAUUAUAUUAUCAGUCCAGUUUCAGCUUUUCGUUAUUAUGUUGCCUUACAUACUCGGUAAAUUAUUUUGUACUGACGUCCCUUUUGCUGGGGACACUGCAUUUCUUGCCUGCGGGUCCUGAUAGAUAGCUGAAUAAAUCUUCCUAGUAUACAGAGUCAAACAUUAUCUAAGUUGGUAAGCUCCACUUCCUCGGAGUUACCAAGUCUAGACCAUGGAGUACAUUUUAUAUAUAUAGGUUUGAUGGGUAGGUUGAGGCCCUGUCUCGACCAUGAUACGGUUUGUUAUCUCUAGAGGCUUGUAGAUAAGUCCUAUAUAUUUUUUGUAUGUUGGUAUUGUGGCCUUGCUAGCCCUGUAUGCAUGUUUAGUUUGGUAUUGUAGGUUAUAGACAUCCAUGGCGGCCUCUUCGGCCUGCACAGUUAUGUAUAUGAGCUUUUGGGUAUGUUUACCCCAUAGAUGAGAGACACAUUAUUAUGAUUCAGAAUAUGGCCUCAUCGGCCUAAGUUGAGGGUUACCCCUCCAGAGUUCAUAGUUAUAGAGUUGUAUGCUCGGGCCGAGUAUGGCAUCUGCUUUUGUCCCUGCCUCCUCAGGUUUGGGGCGUGACAAACCUCUCCUUCCACCACAUUUUGGAAAUCAGAAAAAAUUCUCGCAGACUCAAAAAUCUUAUCUUCCCAAAGAACCUUCUUAUUUUAUCUUGCCAUGCCUGCCUGUUCACUGAAACCCCCCCCCCCCCCCAAUCAUCUGAGGCAAUAUCAGAAUUAGAGCCCGAAGCAGCUGCGUCAGACUCGUGACUAUCACUCUACGAACCAUGGGAAGUGUUGUGGGAUAGAGAAGGCACAUCUAGAGGCUCGGACUGCCUUUGCGGCCUGGAUUGCUCUUCAGUUUGCUCCUAUGGUAAAAAUACAGAAUUUCCCUCGGCGGCCUCCCUAGUCGUGGCAUAAGAACUAGACUCUAAGAGGCCUCCACCUCCGCGACCUGCAGUUGUCUUCUUAGUUAUUUCUCAUUGUACACUUGGGUGCAUGUCAUAUCUUCCAUUUCCCCUUGAAGAUUCACCUCUUCCUUUUGUUGAUUCACCUCGACUCUUGAUAGUACCAUUGUCUGUAUAUGCACAAAGGGACUUGUCAGUUGAAAUUCAUGUUGCAAACAGCUAACAAUCAUAUAAGUAUGUGAGGAUAUCAUAGAAGUAGAGGGGUUCCAGUAUUUCAUCAUGCAGUAGAAAAGGAUGAAGUGCGAUCCGCACAUUUUGAAGUGCGGUACACAAAAUGGAAGUGUGGACCGCACUCCAGCAUAAGAGUGUUGAGUAUUCUGUUGCUUCUUCUCUGAUGAAUUGUGCGGAGGCCUUCUGCGGCCGCAGAAUUCAACGGCAGGUCGCACAAUUAACUUUGCGGUCCGCAAAUGAGAUGAUCAUAUAGCAAGUGUCUGAUUAUUAGUGCAGACUAAAUAUGCGGCCGCACCACAAAAUCUGUUGUCCACAAAAUUGAAGUGCGUCCACACAAACAACAAUUCAAUUUGGUCACCCUAAGUAGUAGUUUGUGGACAGCACAAUUCCAAGGGCGGUCCGCAUAGUCGGGAACACAAACGGAAAAGGUCUGUUUACCUAGAUUAUGCAAAAAUUCCGUUCAAUUUUACUUGGCAACACAGUAUAGACAUGAAAAUCAGUUAACCCAACCCAAUCUAAACACGCUUUAUAAAUUUCCCAGUUCUAAACUACCCCACAUGGAUACAUUGAAGGAAUGAAAUAGUAGAUGGCCUAAAAAACAUAAAAAGGAAAAUAAAUUCCAAAACAAAAAAUAAAAUUAUAAUCAACAUGUAGUGAAGCAUACCAGACAGUGUAAGUGUGCUAUGAUUCAAGUGAGUGCAAAUGGUUGUGUGUGAUUGAAAGUGCAAGUUCUUCCGGCAAUUCUCUGAGUAAUAGUAGGAAAGUUAAGAGGGUGAAAAGUGUAAAAUGGGAGGCUACUGUUCCAUUUAUACCUAGAGGAAAUGUAGGGUUAUAGAAGCGAGUGCAGCCUGGCACAAUUCCAAGUACGGUCCGCACUCUGUUAUCUAGCCUCCAGUAGAAAAUACGAUUAUGCGGUCCGCACUUUUUCAGGUGUGACUGCACUCCGGACAGAGUAGUACAACCACCUCUCUUAUGUUGUGCUUGUGCGACCACAUAAUUUGUGAAAGUCCGAACUAUUACUCUGCACUGAUGGGAGAAAAUUUUAGAAGACCUUUCAUUUAGCACCUAAUAUGGGAUCCUACAAGUGUUGUCCGCAGAGGAAAUCUGUGGCUUCACAAGAGCUUAUGCGGUUAGCAUUAUUUUUAUGCGGCUGCACAAAUAAAGGUGAGGUCCGCAUUUUUGCCCUGAUCACACAACCUUGUCUCCCAUUUAACAUCUAACACUUAUCCAUGCAUCACAUCUCAAAUCAAGUUAAAAACAACAAACAAUAUCUAACUAGAAGAGAAAAGAAAAAAAGAACUUGGAUUGCCUCCAAAGAAGCGCCAUAUUUAACUUCGUGGAACGACACAAUAUCAUAGCUUCCUCGGGUGAUGUAAAUAACCGCGAACACGUGGCUUUCUCAAACCUUUCCCAAGUAGAGCUUCACCCGGUGACCAUUGACUUUAAAUAUUUCAUUGUUCUUGUUCUUCAAGUCCAAUACACUGAAGGUGUCACACUAAAAUCUUUAAAAGGACCACUCCACUUUAACUUAAGCUUCCUUGGAAACAUCCUCAACCUUGAGUAGAACAACAACACUAUAUCACCGUCCUUGAACUCGUUGUUCCAAUUAUAUUUUCAUGAAGAUAUUUCAUCUUUUCUUUAUACAAGGACGAACUCGCAUAAGCAUGGUACCGGUACUCAUCCAAUUCAUCUGCUACAUCCCAAUAAAGAUUCAACUUCUUCAAGGCCCACAUUGCCUUGUCCUCUAGUUCCUCCGGAAAAUGACAAGAUUUCCCCAACACUAACAGGUAUAGGGACAUUCCGAUAGGUGUUUUCUAAGCCGUCGGAUAUGCCCAUAAUGUGUCAUCAAGCUUCAUGGACCAAUCUGUCGGGUUUGAAUUCACCGACUUUGACAAAAUACUUUUAUCUCCCGGUUGGAGACUAUCACUUGACCACUAGCUUGUGGGUGAAAGGGAGUCAUCACCUUAUGAGUAACACAAUACUUGCUAUGUAAAGUGUCAAAAGCCUUGUUGCAAAAAUCUUAUCUCCCAUCUCUUAUGAUUGACCGUGGAGUACAAAAUCUUGUAAAACUAUUGUUCUUCAAGAAAGCCACUAUACUUCUAGCCUCAUUGUUGGGUAAGGCAACGACCUCAACCCAUUUAGACACAUAAUCCACCACGACCAAAAUGUAGUCAUUUCCACAUGAACUCAAAAAUGGACCCAUAAAAUCAAUACCCAAACAUAAAAAAUAUCAAUCUCCAAGAUGGUUUUAAGAGGCAUCUCAUGUUUCUUUGAAAUUGCACAGGCCCGUUGACAUUCAUCACAUCUUUUUACCAAUUAGUUUUGCAUCCUUGUAGAGAGUAUGCCAAUAGAAACCACAACUUCGUACUUUAGCCACCGUUCUCGCUCCACCAUGAUAACUACCAUAUGGCGAAGAAUGAAAAUCUCCAAGAAUCUCACCUAGCUUUUUCUCCGACACACAACUCCGGUUCACCCCAUCCAUGCAAAUCCGGAUAAGGUAUGGUUUAUCCCAAUAGUAGUCUUGACAAUCCCUGUUGAGCUUCUUUCUUUGGUUUGAAGAGAACUCAUCCGGAAUGAUACCACUCACAAAAAAAAUUUCCAAAUCCAUGAAUCAUGGUAACUUUUUCUUUGAAAGUGCCAAAAGUUGCUCAUCGGGGAAAGAGUCAUUGAUUUCAACGCUAGCAUGUGGCCUCCCAUCCUCUUCCAAACGAGACAAGUGGUUCACCACUUGAUUUUCACUUCCUUUCUUAUCUUGGAUGUCAAUGUCAAACUAUUGCAACAAAAGUACUCAUAUCAUAAAGUGAGCUUUAGAUUCCUUUUUGCUCAUAAGAUAGCAAAGUGCCGCAUGAUCCAUGUGGAAAAUAACUUCGGUAACCAUCAAGUACGGGCGGAACUUCUCAAUAGCAAACUCAAUAGCAAGGAUCUCUUUCUCCGUAACGGUAUAAUUGACUUGGGAAGUAUUCAUGGUCUUAAUAUCAUAGUAAGGAGGAUGUAAAGCUUUGUUGAUAUGUUACCCCAAAACAGACCCAACCUCCACAUUACUUGAAUUACACAUGAGCUCAAACUAAAAACUCCAAUUUGGAGAGGUAAUGAUAGGAGUAGUUGUCAAUUGAGCUUCAAUUGUUCAAAUGCUCUCAUACAAUCAUCAUUGAAAUGAAACUUACCAUCCUUCUCAAGGAUCUUGCACAAUGGGUUCACCACUUUAGAAAAAUCCUUAAUAAAUCACAGGUAGAAACUCGCAUGGGCCAAGAAACUCCACAUACCCUUUGACGAGGUGGGGGUGAAAGCUUAGAAAUAACUUCAAUCUUUGCCUUGUACACUUCAAUACAAUUCAUUGAGAUCUUAUUGUAAAGGAGAAUGCCUUCCUCAACAAUGAAAUGACAUUUCUCCCAAUUGAGCACCAAAUUAGUUUCCUCACAUCUAGCCAACACUUUGUCCAAAUUUGCAUAAUAAUCAUCAAAAGAAUAGCCAACCACCAAAAAUUCAUCCAUGAAGACCUCAAGGUAGUCUUCCACCAUGUCCGUGAAAAUAGCCAUCAUACACCCUUGAAACGUAGCUGGUGCAUAGCAUAAUCCAAAAGGCAUCCGUUUGAAAGCAAAAGUACCAUAUGGACAUGUAAAAGUGGUUUUCUCUUUAUCUUCCGGAGCAAUAUGAAUUUGGUUAUAGCCCGAGUACCCAUCAAGAAAAUAUUAGAAAGCACGACCGGCCAAUUAAUCGAGCAUUUGAUACAUAAGUUGAAGAGGAAAAUGAUCCUUCCUUGUGACAAUGUUAAGCUUACAAUAAUCCAACAAAAUUCUUCGACCGGUGACCGUUCUUGUAGGAGUCAACUACUACUUCUCAUUGGUAACAACCGUCAUGCCCCCCUUCUUCAAGUCACAUAGGACCGGAGAGGUCCAUGAACUAUUGGAAACGGGGUACACAACCCCGGCAUUCAAUCAUUUAAUGAUUUCCUUUUUGACCACUUCUUGCAUAGCUUCAUUGAGUCUUCCUUGAUGUUGAAUAGAAGGUUUGGCAUUAUCCUCCAACUUGAUCUUAUGCAUGAAAAAUGUGGGGCAUAUACCCCCAAUAUCCGCUAAAGUCCACCCAAUAGAUUUCUUCCUCUUGUGAAACACCGCCAUUUUUGAGUCAACCUCCAUAUUAGUCAAACAAGAGGAAAACAUAACCGGUAAAGUAGAACAAGGGCCAAGAAAUUCAUACCGAAGGUGUGAUGGCAAUGGUUUCAACUCCAAAUUAGCUGGCUUUUCAAUAGAAGGAUUUGUAUGAGGAGUCUUCCUAUUCUCAAUAUCCAAAGAUAAUUUUCGGGGUGCAUAAUUGUACAACCCCAUUUCUUGCAACGAGUUCACACAUUCAAUGAAACCAUCAAUCUCAUCAUUAUCCAAGUUGAAAAAUAUAGCUUCCAGUAUAUCACCAAAAUUUAUUGUAGCACUUGUGUCAUCAAUAAUAACGUCGGUCACCAAGUCCACAAAAAACCAACUUCAUUGCUAUUUGGUUGACACACAGACAUGCACACAUGGAAUACCACUUGUUCAUCUCCAACCCCGAAAGUGAGUUCUCCGGCUUUCACAUCACAAAGAGCUUUACCCAUAUCAAUGAAAGACAUCUCAAUAAUGAUAGGCACUUCAUAAUCAACCUCACAAUCUAGAAUAACAAAGUCUGCCGAAAGAAUAAACUUAUCAACCGAUACCAACACAUCCCCAAUCACUUCUAAUUGCCUUUUCAUGGUACGAUCAUCCAUUUGCAAUCUCAUAGAGGUGGGUCUUGGUUUCCUAAUCCCCAAUGUUUAAAACACUGAGUAGGGCAUUAAGGAAUUGUGAAAGCAUUGGGAUCCUCCAACUUUGGAGCCAUAGAAUGAACAAUCGCACUCACUUGAUGAGUGACCUUAAUAGUUUCAAAAUUCAUCGACCUCUUCAGGGUCACAAGAUCUUUCAUAAACAUGGCAUAACCGGGCAUUUGUUCUAACGCUUCUACCAAUGACACAUUAAUAGGGAGACCUUUAAUCAUUUGAAUAAACCUCUUAAAUUGAUUUUCACCAUUUUUCUUAGCAAGUAUUUGAGGGUAAGGAGGUGGAGGCUUUUGCAAAUGUGCCUUAUCCUUUUGCACUACCGGUUCCUGUAUGUCUAUAAUAUGUUCCCUAGACAGGUUCACAUCAUAUUGGGUCUCCUCCACAUUUUCAUAAAUAUCAAUCCGAACUUCAACAUGUACUUGAAGAUUAAUUAGGAUUUCCUCCUCUCGGAUCACUUGGUCAUCGUCCACAAGUUGCUUUUCAUUUGAGGUGGGUGCAUUCCCACGUCUUCCACUUCUUGUGAUAGUCGCCAUGGCAUGCCUUGUGUUGUUACAACCCUUUGGGUUUACUAUUGUGUCACUUGUCAGUGUACCCUUAGGGCGAGUAUUAAGAUCUUGAGAGAUUUUCCCCAUUUGAACUUCAAGAUUACGGAUUUAUGUGGUACGUGAGGCAAGUUGGGCAUCCGAAUCUGCAUUCUUCCCCAUCAUUUGCUUGAACAAGUUCACAAUACGAGCCAUUUCAUUGCUUAAAGAAGUCGAACCAUGUGAAUGAUAAGGAGGUGGGUUGCUAGGUUGUUGGUUCAUUGGGAGCCUUUCGAAGCCCGUUCCUCGAUUCCCAUGAUUGUUGUUUCCCAAAUUUCCUAGAUUGUUGCCUCCCCAAUUUCCUUGGUUGUUGUUAUUGUGCAAAUUCCCCAAAUUUUAGAACCCCCAUUUCCUUGGUUAUUUUGAGAACUUCAUUGAUCUUGAUUUGAGCCUCAAAAAUUGCUCUCUUUCCCUUGGUAAUUGUUCAUAAAUUUUACCUCUUAUUCUUAUUCUUUAUAAGAAUCAUCUUGGUCAAAUAUACCAUUAUCUUGUGCAUAAUAUUCCAAUCGGGAUUGAAAUUGGGUGACCCUUGGUCCUCUUCUUGUUGACCAAGACAUUCAUCCCUUCCAUAGCAUGAACUUUCUUAGGAGUUUGUACGUAAUGAAGUUGGGCCUUAGCCAGUUGAGUCAUGGUUGUGGUCAAUUCGACAAUAGCUUAUCCAUAGUCUUGCAACUCUUUAUGAAGAUGAAUCAUGUUGGGAUCACCUGGGGGAACAUUAGCUCGGGAUUGCCAAGACGAAGAAGAUUUUGCCAUCUCAUCAAGAAUCUAACAUGCCUCUGCGUAAGGUGUUGUCAUAAUAUUGUCUCCGACCAAUUGAUUGACCACACAAUGAUUCGUAGUAUUAAUCCCACGGUAGAAAAUUUGAUGGAUAAUGUUGUCGGUCAUAUCAUUGUUCGGGCACUCCUUCACCAUUUUCCGAUGUCACUCAUAAAUUUCAUGAAAAGGCUCAUUUGGCUCUUUCUUGAAAGCCAUUAUUUCAUCCCAUACAGUAGCCAUAUGGUCAGGAGAGAAACGUUGAACUAAACUUCGCCGCCAAUUCAUCCCAAGUAUGAAUAGAAUGAUUAGGCAAGCAUUCCAACCAAUCCAAAGCCUUACCCUUAGUGGGAAGGGAAAUAGCUGUAGUCUCAAAAUAUCUUCCGAAACAUUUGUUUAUUUGCUCCACCAACACGUAUCCACAAAACCCUUCAAAUGUUUGUAAGAAUUUUGAUUCGGUGCCCUGGUAAAAUAAUCUCUUUGCUUGAGCAAAGUAGGCAUCAUAUUGGUAAUUUUGAUAAUUCCUGCCCUAAUGCGAGGAGGGACUAUGGCACCUACAUAACCUUCAUUGGGCAAAAUCCGAUAUUGCGAUGCUUGUGGUUGUGGUGGAGGUUGGGGAGGUGGAGGCACGUUGUCUUGUUGAUCAUGUCCUCGGCGAUUUUGUUAGGGAGCUUGAGGUAUUUCAUCAAGCUGCUCCUCUUUGCCAUCCACCUCUCCCAAUGGCCAAUUUUCGAGUUUGUCAUUUGCCAUUUGGAACCUACAAUCACUUAAAAAAAUUAGAAUCAUAAAAGUAAAGGAAGAUAUUUCAAGAAAAAAACUCAAGUAUAUAGGUAACACCGUAAAACACCCCGUCAAUGAUGCCAAAAAUUGAUCAUGUCCAACUCACACCCAUAUAACGAGUUUGAAAUUGUAGUUGCAAUUAUAAAACACAACGCGAGUCGGCGUCGAAUUCCACAUGGAGUUUAGAUCGAUGCUAAGGUAAAUACUCAAGAAGAGAAUGUGAAAUAUCUAAAUUAGACUUUCAAACAACAGGUGGUAGUUGUUAUUAAAACUGAUAGCUAAGAAAUUUAAUUAAAUUGAAACAACUAGAGAAUGAAAUAUUUUUGGUGUUUUAAUCAAUUAAUGGGAAAGCCUAGGUAUGUAACUUUCCCCUAGGUGUAAACCUACUGGGUAUAGUAAAAUAAUGCUUGCUUGGUAGACCGGGGUGUGUUUUGACUCUCAAUUAUCAAGUACCCACUCAAUACCUCUCGGUUAAUGAAUGAUUAUGCCCAAAUUGGCUUUCUCAAGACCAAAUUGGUAGUAAUAUAAGCAAUUUAUAUGAGUCAAAGUGGGAGUUUACCUAUCUCCUGUUCAAAUCCUUUAAUCAAACUAGUCAAAACCUUAACGAGCUCAAUUUCUUGUUAGCCAAGUUUUUCUAGACUAGGUUCCUCUUUCUAAAGUAAGAACUAAGUCAAACAUGCAUGAAUCAAUGUUUGCAACCAUUAAUUCUAUAUAUAAAUUAUAAACAAGGCUAAAUAACAAACACCAAUCAUUAACAAGCAUAAUAUUCAUAACCCAUAAGUUUUUGCACACAAGGGUUGGGUGACAACCGCAGAUAAAAUCUAGUUACUCAUGCUUGAAGACAUUGAAAAUGAAUGAGUAUAAGUAAUUCAAGACAUAAAACAAAAAUUAAAAGAUAAAAGUAGUGGGUUUUCUCUAUGAUCACAACUUUCCCUAAAAAGUAAACUUUAACCGCUACAGCUUCUAAAAAUACAAAAGUUGCACUAAAAAGUAUUUCUCGUCUAUUUAUUGUGUCUAAAAAUUCGAUGACACUUUCUUAUUUUGCUCUUGCAGUGGGAUGAAUUCUGCGGCCACAUAAUAAUUUCUUCGGCCGUACAUCAGCUUUUGCGACCGCCUAUUUUGGUUGCGGACUGCGUUCUAAGGAUGCUUCACACUUGAUAUUUUUCAUUAUCUCUGAACUUUCCAGCUUGUCAGUACGAACUACUUUUGCGGCUGCAUAAUUUGGUGUGUGGACCGUACUUCUUCUAAACUCCUCUCAGGCUUCAAGGGUACGUCUACGGCCGCACUAGCAUUUCUGCGGACCGCAUCUUUAGCUGCGGCCGCAAAAUAUCAUCUGCGGACUACACUUUCCUUUGCAACUGCUCCUCUUUGCCUUGUUGAGCUGGAACACUCCUUUUUGAGUUAGAUUUGUCCAUUGAGCUCGAAUCCUCCAACAUGCAUGCAAUUUACACAAGUUCAUUAGAUUUGGAAACAAAAAUCACUACUUUUAGACUAAAAACUAAAGAAAGUAGAUACUAAUAAGUGGUCAAAAUCUACACUUAUCAAGGAUCCCAAGGAGGAACCAGAUUACAACAAUGACGAGGAGGAGAAGGUGGAAGUUGAAGAGGACCUUGAAGAGCAGCCUGAAGAAGAAAGCUUGGGAGGUGACUCCGUUGAUGAUUAUUAAGUGGAUGGUUGAUUUCCCUUUUUCUGGUACCCUUUUCAUUUCCCUAAGGGCGAAUAUGUGAGCCAAUGUGAUCUUUUGUGAACUUUGAAAAAAAUGUUGUAACCACAAUUCCCAUCUUAUUGUAACUCAAAGCAUAUCAAUAAAAAUUAAAGUUUGCUCCGAAUCUAAAUUUGUUAAAAUCUGAAUAUUUUUUAAAUACUCGCGAUAUAGGCCUACCUUCGGCAAAGAGAAGUCCUUCGUAUCUUAGGAAACACACUUGUCUAAACACGUGAUUUAAUUACUCUAUGUGCUCAUAUUUGUAAAAUCUUUGAAAGUAACUUCUACUUAUCCUUAUUUUCUCGUUAUAUUGCUUUAUUUUAUCCCCAAAAAAUAGAGGUUGGUUUGUGUUGAUAUGUAAAACUGGCUGAGCCACAUCACAAUCUAAGAUCCGACGACCCGACCAUAAAUGCUAUAGCUGUAGCCGACAACCCAGGGCAAUCAGGGGAAAAGGACGAUACCUGAAAUGAUGAACACCUUGCCAAAAUAGAGCAGGAAAUGGAGUCAUUGAGAGGAGAAGCACAACAGAUCCGGGAGCUGGCACACUUGGUCUUGAUGAUGCUUCCACAAGUACCCUGCUUCCCUUCCUUAGAUUCAAUCCCUGAUCAUUUCCUUUCAUCAACAUGACAAAUAAUCAGUACCCCAACCGCUAUUACUACCUAUCCUGCAACUCAAGUUAUACCAUGAGUAACCCCCGCAAGUCCACCAAACCCUCAUAUUAACACACCUUAUGUCCUAAACUAUGUCCAAGUACCACAAAAUCCACCAGUCACCACAAAUUUAGUUCACGCCCCUCCUCGUGACAGCGUGACUGUUACCAAUAAGCAUUCUUAGCACAAACCUGCGACAUACACCGCAACACAUGAGCGGUAUGUUACACAUGUAUAUGAAACUUCUGAGCCAACCUUUACUGAACCCAUCACUGUCAGAGUGCCCUAUGAUGUAGACCAAUAUGGUUAGAUGUAGAAAGUAACAAAAUACAAGGAAGAGGAGUCAGUGUCAGAACAACAACUAGUAUUAAGGAAAUAGAUGAUGAAUCUCCAGGUUGCUCGAGGGCCUAUAUUAUGAGGAGUUGUGUAUACAUCCCCAUGUUGACAUGCCUGCAUGGUAUAAGACUCCAAAGUUCGAUUUUUUGAUGGAACGGGAUCCCCAAGCUCAUUUGAGGGCCUACUGUCACAAGUUGGUUGGAGGGGAAAGAAAUGAAAAACUGAGAAUGAUGUUGUUAUUAAGGAGUCUGAUGGGAGAAGCUCUUGCUUGGUAUACCCGAAAAGACUGUAGGAGUUGGAGGGAAUGGGAGGACAUGGUAGAUGAUUUUAUGAAUCACUUCAUAUUUAAUACCGAGUUCACCCAGACAGGUUCGCUUUGGUGAAUUUGUAGAAGAAACCGUCUAAAUCAUUUCAAGAAUAUGUUCGUCGUUGUAGAUCAGAGGCUGCCAGGAUUCAACCACUAUUGGAUGAUAAUGGGAUAACCAAGUAUUUUAUCCUGGCCCAAGAAGGGCUUUAUUGUCAUACCCCGACCUCGGGGAGCGCGACCCGUGCUCCACCGAGAUACCCCGGUCAAGCAAGCCUACUUGAUGCCUUCUACCCAACCCUACCAAUGAACCAUUUAAAAAUCAGUAACAAGAGAUAUACAUGAGAAGAGUUAAGUGUUCCACAUUCGUUUUACAUUAUUCAAAUGAUAAUCAUUUAUAGUUUUCAAAAUAUUACAAGUUCAUAAUUACGAGGGAAAACAUAUUUGCCAAAUACGAACACUUCUAGUUCACUACUCGACAUCGAACACCACCCCACAACAUGUCUACAGAGCUUCUAAGUAUAACAGAAGAGUAGUAUGAAAGUGCCAGCGAUAAGGCCCCGGCUAUACCUCUAAACACAAAGUACCACGUCAAGUGACAUAAGGCCCGAAACAUAAUAGGGUUCACCAAAACGUGCUGAGUGGAGGGUAACUACUAACAAGGAUCCAAGCUGCCCGCCGACGAACCACAUGCAUCCAUUGAAGCUGCAGCUACCCCGGGCCUUAUGAAUUAAAAUCACCUCAUAACCUUUCACACCAUAUAUAGCUUCAUUAGUACUUUUAACCAUUCAGAACAUCAUUAUUUUGUGGGCUCUCUUAGCCAUACGUAUGAUUCUUCAUUCAUGGCACGUUUCCCGUAUUUCAUAUUCCAUGCUUUCAUUCUUUUUUUACUUUCAAGGAUCAUCAUCAUAAACAUUAACAUAUAGAAUAUUCCGAAAAUCACAGCUGUAAGUUAAUAGUAAUGAAGACUUUAAACACAAUAGAUUCCUUUCCAAAGAAUGGAGCAAAAUGACUAGCAAUUGAAGCACGAGUUAAAAUCAUAAACGAGUGACACACCACUUAUUUUUGAAAUACUUUUUUUAAAAAGGGUAAUAGACAAUUUCAACUCAUGAGUAUGUAAAAACUAAAAUCACAUUGGAAUUAUUUAUAAAGGAGAGCAUGGAGAUUUACAAUUGAAACAUCAAUUCAAAUUAAAUGCAUUAGUUACAACAACCACAGCCACAUUUUACAUCGCACUCUCACUUGUUUCACUUCCAAACAUCAUCAUAGGUUAUCAACAAUUAAGGGAAUUUGGAAUCAAGACCUUAAAUAUAUAUAUGAGCAAUAUGAGUCUUAAUCAUGUUGGGUUUUCUUUCCAAAUUAAGCUUAAUAAACUUUCAUUUAAAACAUGAAUUGAAGUCAUAACAUUUUAAUACAUAAACUAUACUUGAACACAUUCACGAAAGAGAUCAUGAUAAGGUAGGAUCACUUGAAACACGUUUUGAGUAUGUACACCUUUCAACACAACGCUUACUUGGGAUAUUCGAAUUUAUUAGGAACCACUCGGAACAUGGGAAUUAGGAACCUAGGCAACCAUACUUGAAACUUACGCGAACAUCAUGGAAUUUGAUUUUAAGAGAGAAGUUUAGCCGACAUACCUUUAUUGAGCUUUCCUUAAGUUAAUACAAUGUCCCAACACAUCUAGCAAUAUCAAUCUAUAGGAAGAUAGCGAAAAUCGGAUAAUAAUUAGAAGGAUCUUCAUGGUGUAACUCUCUUAGGAAUUUUGUCAAACAUCUAUUAUGAAAGAUUGACUACAAAGAUCCACAUUGGUAAUCCCUUCCUCCCUUAACCAAUUUCAAUAAGAAACUACCGGAUAUAGUUCAACAAUCCCACAUACUACCACCUAUUGGCACAUGCAUGGCCUAUUUCCAACAACACAACAUACUUAAACCCAUAACCUCUUGCAUGAAAGCUUAGGAGAAGGACUUACCCGGAUAGAUGAUGGUUUAGUGAGUAAUGCUCUUGAAUCUUCAAGCUUGGGGCAAGGACUGAUGAUGAAAAUGGAUAGGUCUUCUCCCUCUCUCUCUAAGAUACUCUCACUUCUCUGUAAAACAUCAGAUUUUUGCUUCAAAAUAAGACCCAAAGGCUAUUAAUGUAAAUGGGGUCGGGUUAUAAAAAUAGAAAAAUAGACCCUCCAAACUAAACUAUGCGGUCGUAGAAUGGACCACAUAACAGAUAUGCGGCCACCAAAAUAGACCGCGAAAGUGAUACCAAAAACUAGGCUGGCCUGGACUAGUGUGCGACCAUGUCUAUGGUCCGCAGUCUAGUUGUGCGGCCGCGAAAUGGACCGCAGAAUCCCCCAUCUGAAAUUCUUCAUGCUAAAUAUGCGAUAGAAGUGCAGAUCGUGAAACAGGUAUGUGAUCGCAUAAUGGACCGCAAAACAAUCUUCAAAAAUUCAACUAUUUUGUUCUGCUCAACUCCGGCAGUCCACGAAAUGAUUCUGCGGUUGCAAAAUUGACCGCAGAAUUGCCUUCUUCUACCUAAACUUUACAUCAACUCCUUAGUGCAUUCUUCAACCCUUAAAGCCUACAUCGGCACCAUAAAACCUUAAAUUCCUUGGCGAAUUUUUACGGGGCCUUACACCCUCCCCCGCUUAGGAUCAUAACAUAACACGUCUCUUCUAUCACGCAUCGUAAGCUCGAAAAUUUGACUAACUCCCGAAUGUUUUAGAAAUUUUGGUAGAGUUUCCCUGUAUUUGGGCCUUUCCACCUGCCAGAGAAUCAUCAAAACCACUCCUAACAACACAUCCACAAUUCAGCAAAGCAUCACAAUAUAUCAAUAACACAAAUCUCUACAUUACCGGCAUUACAUUAUCAAAAGUGAUAUCUGGACAUGAGCUACACAUAUUUAAAUCAUAACACAUAGAAAGUACCUUUUGAACCACAACCAUUUGUAUAUACAAACAAGUGAGAAUAUUUUCUUUCUAUAACACUUUCAUCUUUCGAGGUGACCUCCUUAACUCACGAACAUCUCCAUAGCACUUGAUGGAGGCAAUCUCAACUUCCUGACACAUCUCUUCUAUCACGCAUCACAAGCUCCAAAAUUUGACUAACUACCAAAUUUUUUAGAAAUUUUGGCAGAGUUUCCCCUGUAUUUGGGCCUUUCCACCUGCCAGAGAAUCAUCAAAACCACUCCUAACAACACAUCCAUAAUUUAGCAAAGCAUCACAAUAUAUGAAUAACACAAAUCUCCACAUUACCGGCAUUACAUUAUCAGAAGUGAUAUCUGGACAUGAGCUGCACAGAUUUAAAUCAUAACACAUAGAAAGUACCUUUCGAACCACAACCAUUUGUCUAUACAAACAAGUGAGAAUAUUUUCUUUCUACAACACAUUCGGCUUUCGAGGUGACCUCCUUAACUCACGAACUUCGCCAUAGCAUACUUGAUGGAGGCAAUCUCAACUUCCAGACUUAUCUAACAAGGAUGACAAUUAGGUACCUCUUAUAAGCCAAUUAUACUGAGAUGGUCAAAUGAAAGAUCUUCCUAUGAUGAAUUUUUGAGGAUCUCAAAUUUCAGAGAAACCUUAUGCGGACAAGUGACCAUUUCAAUUGACAUGUACACAUAUGAUAUGUGCUGAGUUAUGCAAUUAUAUUACUAGACAAUGAAAAUGGUUCAUGAUAGUGUUCACAAGGGAGUAAAGUGAUUGUUCAAACUAUAUGAGCUACAUACACAAGAGAGAGAGAGAGAGAGAGAGAGAGAGAGAAGGAGUGGCUCAAAAAGAUCUUAACACUAGGCUGCUUUAUAUUAGAUUUGAUGCCAUGUAGGUAAAUAUCAUGAUGGUGCGUGAUCAAGUAAGCAUAUGUUAUCCAUUUGAAUCAAAAGGUUCUAUAAGAAAUUAAUGAGGAAUAGUUCUUUGUUAAGAGUUAGAAGAUGCAAGUUAAAGUAUUAACCUAAGAUUAUAACUCAAUCUGAGGAAAUCAUUAUAGAACUCAAUUCCCCAACAGAUUGUAAAUAAGAGAAUUGUCAAAAAGAGGCUUCACAAAUAAUGUGUCUCGUUCAAAGAGUAGGUACAUGCAAUCUUUUAUAACUCAGUUUCUUGUUAAGAACAUGUUUAUGUAGGCUUUUCACUAUAGAUGUACGUAUAAAACAAGGAGAAUCAUGUGGUGUUCAUAGUGAUGUAACAAGGAGUGACUUACUUGGUGAUUUUAGGUUGACAGGGAAGUACCUUAACUGAUGCCCCUCGACUCCACAUCAAUAAAAUACAUUGGUACCGUAGUGACAUACCCACGAAGACAUCUCCAACACUUCACACAACGGGGAUGAGGUCCACUAAAUUGACUCGCCCCACUGACCUAAUAUUUACCCCUUUUGCAUACAUCAUAUGCACCCCCUUAUCCUUCUUCCAAGCCUUCAUUGAGGGAGUAACAAUCUCUAUACCGGUUUGCUGUGUGGGCCUUUGGAAUUACCUAAGCCUGCCACCCCUAACAUGCUUCUGAACAUAUUUACAACACGACACCAAAUGUUCCUUCCUGCUUAUCGGGCACACCAGGAUGGGUGUACCCAACCUAGGGCAUUUUUUCUUCUUGUGGCCCCUCUUCCCACAACCAUAACAUAUUUCAAGAGUCAUCCAACAUAAACACGAGUGGCGCUUCUUACGUAUCAAACACUCCGGCUUAUUGGUGCCAACAAUCAUCUUUCAUUUAUUAGGUGCUCUCACCACAUGAUCCGGUGGCGCAGUAACAUUAAUAGGAACAAGGACACCUCCCCUAGAAACCACCUCUUCCAAUCCCUCCACGGCUCGACCCAAUCUCCUAACAAACUUUUGUGCAAUCUCCCCCAGAUUUAAUGGUGAGGUCAUUCCCUCCUUGCUGCUUCGAACUCGUGAAUUACUCAUCUAGAAAAUGAGACAUGAAAAGGAAAUUAACUUCCUAUCUUGAGCUCUAUCGCAUGAUCUGGAGUAUCAAAGAAGGGUGACAUUCCUAAAUGUCCAAGUAGCCUCCCAAUAAUAGAUGCGGUCGGCAACACACCAAUGAGAAGGACCCUACUAGACAUGGCUCCGAGAUAUCCUAGGACACUUUAAAACCUUAGGCUCUGAUAUCAAGUUUAUAAUUCCCCAACCUCGUGCAGUGCGAUUGGCGCUCAACCGAGAUACCCUGGUCAACCAAGCCUAUUUGAUUCCUUCUACCCAACCGUACCCAUGAACCAUAUAAGAAUCGUUCACAAGAGAUACAUGAGAAGAGUAAGGUAUUCCAUAUUAUUUUUCCAUUACUCAAAGGAUAUUCAUUUACAGUUUUCAAAAUAUUACAAGUUCAUAAUUACGAGGGAAAACAUUUUUGCCAAAUACUGCCCACAACAUGUCUACGGAGUCUCUAAGUACAAUAGAAGAGUAGUAUGGAAGUACCGGCGACAAGGCCCCGGCUAUACCUCAAAAUCAAAAGUACCACAUCAAGUGACAUAUGGCCCGAAACAGAAUAGGGCUCACCAAAACCUGCUGAGUGGAGGAUAACUACAAACGAGGAUACAAGCGGCGCGCCAAUAAACCACCUGCAUCCUUUGAAGAUGAAGCGCCCCCGACAAAAGAGACGUUAGUACAUAUGGAAUAGUACUAGUAUGUAAAGCUAUGCAUCCUCUUUCAAAAUAGAACGCCAGUAUAAUAAAGGGAAAACCAUGGAAGCAUCAUGAAACAAUCAAUGAUAUCCAAAUACCAAUUUAAAACAUAACAAUUUUCAUUAUUUCAUUGGCUCUCUUGGCCAUACGUAUGAUUCUUCAUUCAUGGCACGUUUCCUAUUUCAUAUUCCAGGCUUUCAUUUUUUUUUUACUUUCAAGGAUCAUCAUCAUAAAAUCAACAUUUAAAAUAUUUCAAAAAUCACAACUGUAGGUUCAUAGAAAUGAAGGCUUUAAACACAAUAGAUUCCUUUCCAAAGAAUGGAGCAAAAUGACUAGCAAUUAAUCCACGAGUUAAAAUCAUAAACGAGUGACACACCACUUAUUUUUGAAAUACUUUUUUCCCAAAAGGGCAAUAGACAAUUUCAACUCAUGAGUAUGUAAGAACUAAAAUCACAUUGGAAUUAUUUAUAAAGGAGAGCAUGUCGAUUUACAAUUGAAACAUGAAUUCAAAUUAAAUGCACUAGUUACAACAACCAUGGCCACGUUUUACAUCUCACUCGAACUUUUUUCACUUCCAAACAUCAUCAUAGGUUAUCAACAUUUAAGGGCAUUUGGAAUGAAGACCUUAAAUAUAUAAAUGAGCAAUAUGAGUCUUAAUCAUGUUGGGUUUGCUUUCCAAAUUAAGCUUAAUAAACUUUCAUUUGAAACAUGAAUCGAAGUCAUAACAUUUUAAUACAUAAACUAUACUUGAACACAUUCACGAAAGAGAUCAUGAUAAGGUAGGAUCACUUGAAACACGUUUUGAGUAUAUACACCUUUCAACACAAUGCUUACUUGGGAUAUUCGAAUUUAUUAGGAACCAUUUGGAACAUGGGAAUUAGGAACCUGGGCCAACCAUAGUUGAUACUUACGCGAACAUCAUGGAAUUUGAUUCUAAGAGAGAAGUUUAGCCGACAUACCUUACUUGAGCUUUCCUUAAGUUAAUACAACGUCCCAACACCUCUAGUAAUAUCAAUCUAUAAGAAGAUAGAGAAAAUCAGAUAAUAGUUAGAAGGAUCCUCAUGGCAUAACUCUAUUAGGAAUUUUGUCAAACAACUAUUAUGCAAAAUUGACUACAAAGCUUUACAAUGGUAAUCCCUUCCGCCCUUAACCAAUUUCAACAAGAAACUACCGGAUAUAGUUCAACAAUCCCAUAUACUACCUCCUAUUGUCACAACAUACUUAAACCCAUAACCUCCUGCAUGAAAGCUUAGGAGAAGGACAUACCCGGAGAGAUGAUGGUGGUUUAGUGCGUGAUUCUCUUGAUUUUUCAAGAUUGGGACAGGGAUUGAUGAUUAAAAUGGCUAGGUCUUCUCCCUCUCUCUCUAAGAUAGUCUUAAUUCUCUCUAAAACGUUAGAUAUUCGCUUCAAAAUAAGACAUGAAGGCUAUUAAUCAAAAUGGGGUCGGAUUAUAAAAAUAGAAAAAUAGACCAUCCAAUGGACCGCGAAUGUGAUGCAAAAACCUGGGUUGGCCUGGACCAGUCUGCGGCCAGGUCUACGGUCCCCAUACUAUUUCUGUGUCCGUAAAAUGGACCGCAGAAUCCCCCCUUCGAAAUUCUUCAUGCCAAAUCUGUGACAGAAGUGCGGACCGCAAAAUAAGUGUGCGAUCGCAUAAUGGACCGCAAAAUAACCUUCAGAAAUUCAACUAUUUCUCUCCUCAACUGUACGAUGAUUAUACGGUCCGCGGAAUAGUUAUGCGGUUGCAAAAUUGACCGCAAAAUUGCCUUUUUCAACUAAAAAUUAACUUCUACCUUCUUACAUAUUAGUCUACCUCGGCACCGCAAAACGAUAAAUUCCUUGGCAAAAUUUUUUGGGGCCUUACAUUUAUUUUGAUAUGAUGAUGGGCAUGUGUCACGCCCCGACCUCGGGGAGCGCGACAUGUGCUCAACCGAGAUACCCCAAUCAAGAUAGCAUGUACAAUGCCUUCACACACCUACGAAUAAAGAGAAGAAAUAUUACAUUAAUUAGACAAUGAUAGGUCAUGUGAAGGACACCAGGUCAUUACCAUUAGUUACGUCAUUAAUAAAUCUCAAAAUACAUACUAUUUCAUGGUUUGAAGUGGAAUAUGUGAUGCAAGUACAACACCUUUAGUUUAACCUUUCCAAAAAAUUAUACAACCCACACUAUGUCUACGGAGCCUCUGACAAAAACAAAAGAGUGCUACGAUAGUGCCAGCAAUAAAGUGUGGCUCACCAAGUCAGUUGAGGAGAGGGUGUACUGCUAUCAUUGAUCACUACUACAUGCUGUAGAAUCACCUGCAUCCAUUAAAGAUGCAGUUUCCCCGGUAAAGGGGACAUUAGUACAAAUGGAAUAGUUGUAGUAUAUAAAACUAAACACACUCUCAAUAGAAUGAGUAACAGUAAAAUGAGAAACAAACAUGGAAUCAAUGAGGGCCUCAAACAAUAUUAAAGUAUCAAGUUAGGAGAAAGGAUAAAAUUGAAGUAAGUUUUAAUACUUUUAAGUUGGGAGAUCUUUAAUACCGAUACACUACCGUGCUUUUACCACGCAGUCUGAUCUCAUCCAGAUUGGCUAAACCGUCUCACCCCGAGACGUCCGCUCACAACACCACCAUGUGCGCGACAUGGCAUCCGAUCUCAGCCCGAUCGGCUAAGCCGUCUCACCAUAAUGUCAUGUGGUUUGACUUCACCUCACAUUCAGCUAGCAAUCAUCUCAUCCCAUUUAAGGGGAAUUAUCUCAACACAUCAAUCUCAUCCCAUAUUCGGGGAAAACUCUCAUCACCACCCACGGGGAUUUUACCCCUCACUCACUCCUACACCGGCACACGUAGUUUGGGGCUAUGUUACUUCAACCUACCCUUCCUCGGUGACUAAGAAAUACCCCCAAAGAAUUUAUUAUUUAAAGUAUUUUAUAGCUUAUUUCAUAAUCUUUCACAUAUCUUUCAAUUUCAUUGGCACUAGUGCACACAAUGGUAAUAUCAUUCUGGGCACAUCGGUCGUACUUCAUACUUCAUACUCAUUCCUAUAACUUUCAAGCACCAUCAUGGUUCAUCAACAAUAAGGGAAUUUCAAAUCAAGAACUUAAGUGUUUAUAUGAGCAAUAAGAGUGUAAAUCACAUCGAGUUUCUUUUCCAAAAUUAGGCAUACUAACAUUGCAAUUGAAACGUGAUUUUUAAAACAUGAUACCUUCAAUACAUUGCUCAUACUAGAUCACAUUCUCGGAGGGAAUCAUUAUAUGAUGGAAACAUUUGGAACAUAUAUUGAGUACAUAUGUCUUUAAUACAACACUUAUACUAAAAUAAUCAAAUUUAGUAGGAAGGAUUCGGAACAUGGGAAAUAGAAAUUGAGCUAAUCUAAAUCGCAACAUACGAAGACGUCAUGGAAUUUGAUUCUACAAGAGGAGUUUAGCCAACAUAUCUUGCUUGAGCUUUCUUUAAUUUACUACAACGUUCCAAAACUCCUAGCGACUUUAAUCUAAUUAAAGACAUGAUAAAAUAUAACUAUAAUUAGGAAGCUUCUCGGGGGUUCAGCUCAUUUGAGCAUUUUAUCAAGCACUAGGGAUGCAUUAUGGUUUCUAGAUUCUCCUAUGGUGGAUUGGUUUACCCCACAAUCAAUCCCCACUUCAAUAGGCCACCAAAAAAUACUCCACAACCCCCGUACCACCUUUAUUAGAAAAUGCAUGCAUAAAUAACAACUCUUAUUCUCAAAACCUUCUUCCUCUUUACCUAUUUCCAACCAAAAUUUAAAAAUUGAAGGCUAGGGCUACAAUCUUACCUAUUGGAUGAAGACCUUGUGACUUAUCCUUAUGAAUUCUUCAAGACUUGGGCAAAGAUUGAUGAACAAAUGACUUAUGAAUUCCUCUUCUCACUCUAGACCACUUUCCUAUCUCUAAAAUAUCAGUUUGGACCUUCUAAAUUGAAUCCUAUGGUUGUUUUAUAAUAUUGGGAUCAGGUAAUAAAACAAGAAAAUGGACCCUCCUAAUACAGCUAUUCGGUCGCAUAGUGGACAACAAUAAAGAUAAGCGGUCCGCAAAAGUGAUGCAGAAAACUGGGCUACCCUGGUUCAGUCUGCGGUCAGGUUUGGGUUCCAUAGACCAAUUUUGCGGCUGCGAAAUGGACAGCAGAAUCACCCUCCAAAUGUAUUCGUGCCAAUUUUGCGAUGGAAGUGUGGCCCAUGAAAUGAUUAUGUGGUCGCAUAGCUGACCGAAAAAUGACCUCCAAAAUUGGCCAUUUUUCUGUUUCACUCUGCGGGGGAUCUGCGGUCCGCGGAGUAGUUAUGCGGUCGCAUAAUGGACCACAGAAAUGCCCUGGUAUGCGGAGUAGCUCUGUGGUAGAAACAUAAGCCUACCUUGGCAUCACAAAACCCCUGGUUCUAGGUGAAAUUUUACGGGGCCUUACAUUAUGAUGGGUCAAAAUUUCCCAAGCUGGUUAAAAUGGGAGACUUCUUGGAAGAAGGUAUCAAGAAAGGAAAAAUACAGUCAAUGGCAACGCUGCAAGAUGCUAACAUGGCAAUAUAAUAUGGUUCCAUUGGCAGUGGGAAGAAGAAUAAAGAGGAUGUAAAGGCAAUCGUCCCCUACUACCAGUCAAGUCCUCCCCGUCGAGCCAACACUUGCCCCACAUCAACCCACAUAUGCCCAAGUAUAUAACACCAAACCAUACUAUAAUGUUCAAUCCCACUACAACCCGCCCUGAGCCAAUAUACAUCCAAAUCUACCACCACUUUAUGCCCAGUUCAAAUCGCCACCCACUAAAAUAGAGAUGCUUAUGCUCCCAGGCCAUGCAAAAACAUUGAAGAGAGAAAUCUCAGAAACUUUACUCCAAUUGCUGAACCUUUAGCCCAGUUAUUUGAAAGGCUGAAGUGAGCCAGACUGAUAUAUCUAGUGGAAGGAAGAAUUCUUUACCAACCCUCCAAAUAUUUGACGCAACCAAGCAUUGUGCCUACUAUUCGAGUGUUCCUGGGCAUGAAACUAAGGAUUUAUAUAGAUUGAAGAAUGAGAUCGAGCUGCUAAUUAAGAAUGCAACUAUUCAAUGCAUCCCAAAAUGUAAACUAUAACCCAUUGCCUAACCAUAUAUAUCAAGUAGCCAACAUGAUUGUAUUGGAUGAGGACUAUGACUUGAAAGGGACCAUCGUCCUUAUUGAAAAUGCCGAUAUAACAUUCCGACCGGUUGUUUUGAGAAUUUACACUUCGCUCGAUGGUUGGAUAGCAUGAGUAGCUCCGUGUGAUGUAUUAUGACUUACGUGUAUCGUCGGCUGUAGUUUUCAGGUUUUUUGGGAUUAGUUUGGAAGAAUGGUUCUUACGUUUGAAGCUUAACUUGGAAGACUUGACCAAGUUUGACUUUUGAGUAUUAGACCCCUGAUCGGAGUUUUGAUGGUUUCGUUAGGUUCGGAUGGUGAUUUUGGACUCAGGCGUAUGCCCUGAUAUGGAAUGAUGAUAUCGGAUUCAGAUUGUGGUUCCUGGAAUUGAAAUAGCUUCGUUAUGUACUUUGGGACUUGUGUGCAAAAUUUGAGUUCAUUCCAAGAUGAUUUGAUAUGUUUCGGCGCGAGUUUUGGAAGUUGAAAGUUCAAAAGUUCAUUAAUUUUUAUUUGAGGUUCGAUUCAUCAUUUCUAUGUUGUUAUGCAUGAUUUGAGGCCUCCAGUAGUUCGGAGUUAGGUUACGAAACUUGUUAAUAUGUUCGGACGGGAUCCCGGGGGGCUCGGGUGUGUUUCGGAUUGAUUUCAGACCAUUUUUCUUCAUGUUUUCUUUGCUGGUUGCUGCUGGUUUUUGUUGCCUCGAUUGUCCUUCGCGAUCGCGAACAUGUGGGUGCGAUUGCAUAGAGGAAAUUUGGAGCUGGGCACUUUCUUCAUCUCGGGCGCGAUUGGAUGAUCGCGUUAACAUGAGGUUGUGUGGGUUACUAUCGCAUUUGCAGAUGAAAAAUUGUAGUCGCAUAGUGUUUAGACUGGGCAGAUGAGAGUUAAGAGCUGAAGAAUUCUUCAACACGACCACAUUAUUUGAGUCGCGAGCUUUGACAUCAGUGUUCAUCGUGUUCGCGUGGCUAGUGUCGCAAACGCAUAGAGUCUUUUUGGUGGCAGAUUAUUUUGUUCAUCGCGAGUGCGAUUGUUUUUCUGCGUUCGCAAAGGGUUUCGCCUGGGAAGUGCUUAUAAAGUACUAUAUUUCAGAGGUUGUAGCCAUUUUUGCAAAUUUUGAGCUAUGGAGCUCGGAUUGAAGCGAUAUUUGAGGCAAUUUUCACCAUAUGGAUUGGGGUAAGUAUUCUCUACUCGAUCAUGAUUAUGUUUCAUGAAUCUAUCUUCAUUUUUGGCAAUUGGUUGAUGAAUUCAAAAGAUAAAUUGGGGGUUUUUGUCUAAAAUCUUAUAAAGUGAAUUUUUGAGUUUUGAGCAUCGAUAUAGAGUCAGGUUUGAGUGAAACUAGUGUGGUUGGACUUGUAACUAAAUGGGUUGUCGGAUUUUAUGAGUUUUAUCGGGUUAUUAGGUGCAGGCCUAGGUUUGACCUUUUUGUUGACUUUGGGCUUUUGAUAAUAGAUUCCACCUUUAUCAAUUGGAUUUAUUGUUUUGGCAUUAUUUGAUGUUCUUGAGUUGCUUUUGGCUAGUUUUGGGCCUAUCGGAGGUCGGUACGCGUGGGAUGGCAUUUUGGUUUAUCAUUUGGCUUUCUCGGUAUUGGAUUCGGCUUGUUCGAGAUAUGUAACACUUCUAAACUUAGUGCUGAGGGUAUGAACCCUGAAUAUACGUGAUAUGUGUUUGGUGCUGAGGUGAUGCACAUUUUAAGUGACAGGCGUGUUGACGUGCACUAUGUGAAUUAUGACUCGGUUGACGCUGUGGUACUGUGUAGUUACCCAAUCUUAUUUGUAUCCAUGAAAUUUCUAUGUGCUAGUAUAAUUGAGCUGUGAUCCAUGUUAGAAACCAUGUUUAGGAUAUAUGUUUAUCCUGUUGGGACCCACUGAGGUCAAUUCGGCUGUUGAGUUAUUUGCUUAAUUUGCAUUUACAUACUAAGUCAUAUUUAUUCAUAAACAUAUCAUAUCUCUGUCUCUGUUAUCAUUUGUUGUCACAUCAUGUUGUUAUCAUUAUUUGGGCUGAUUGGCAUGAGUGUUGUGAGCCCGAGAGACUGGAGAGAUUUAUGAAUGAGUUGGGGACUGAGGGCCGGAUUGUGCGUGAUAUUGAUGGGAUAGGGCUGCACGUCGCAGUAAGUGUUCUUGAUUCAUGAUAGGAUCAGACUGCACGCCACAACGGGUAUUAGUGAUUCAUGAUGGGAUCGGGCUACACGCCGUAGCAAGUAUUAUUGAUUCAUGAUGAGAUUGCAUUGCACGUCGCAGCAGGCAUUAUUGAUUCAUGAUGGGAUCGGGAUGCACGCCACAGAAGGUUAUAUUAGUGCUUGGGCAGGAUCUGCGCCUCCGGAGUCUGACAUACCCACAGUGAACGCAGGUUUUAUUGACUCGUGAUGGGAUCGGGCUGUGCGCCGCAGUGGGUACCGUACAGUGCUGAUUGACUGAGUGUGUUAAGUAUUGAGCGUGAUGAGUGAAAGUGCGAGACAAUGAGAUUGCGCACUCUGAGAGUGUGAGUAUGUGACUUCAUCACUGUGAUGCAUUGUAUUUGACAUGUAUACUUGACAUACAGGCAUAUAUAUGCAUUCCCGCAUGUUACACAGUUUUGUGACAUUUACGACUUCACAUGCACAUUGACAUGUAAGCAUAGAGAUGUACUUCCACAUGCUAUCUUUGAUUGAAUUAUCUUAUCUGUUGUUGAAGGUUUUUGGGAAAUAUCAUAGAUUUCUGACUUACACAAAUUAUGGUGAUUUCGGUGAAUGAUUUAGGUUUAUUGUUACACUGUAAAAUCAUGCCUAUUCUAUCCAUAAUUGUGAACGGGUUAAGUAUCAUAUGUUUGAGUUUCUUCUUUAACUACUUGUAUUAUAUCGUUAUGAGUUGAUGUUGGCUAUUGGUGUUGGACUCUGAUCGUUGUCCAAGCUCUUUACUGCCUUCAACCUAAGGUUAGGUUUGUUACUUAUUAAGUGCAUGGGGUCGGUUAUACUCAUACUAUACUUUUGCACCUUGCAUGCGUAUUUUUUAUGUUGAUUUUGCUGUGUAUGGCGUGACCUGGAAUUGAAGAUGUACCUAUGUUCUGGUCAUAGCUGCCUCUUGUUCUUGGUAGCUUUAGGAUUUUCGAUUUGUUCAUGUAUAUCUCAAGCAAAUGAUGUAUUUAAUUCAUAACAGCUUUGUAAACUCUAAAUCUUUGAAACUCGUGAUUUGUACUACCAGUCCAUGGGAAAUUUUUUAUAUAAAAGUUCAGUUAUAUUAUCACUAUUUCUUUUAGUAAAUCUCAUUUGAAUUGAAUAUUGUAAAAUUGGCUUACCUAACGGGCCAUGCUAGGUGUCAUUAUGACUAGUUGGAUUUUGGGUCGUGAUAGCCGAAACUGCAAGAAUGCCACCUCGAGAGACUCUGUUGAUCAUUGUGCAGCUGAAACCUCCUUUGAUAGUUCAGACAUACCAACUAUGGUCCACCACCACUGUUAGAGAAGAGCGGAUUCGAGAAUACAAAUCAGUUCCAUGGACUUUCCAGUCAUAGGGAAAGGGCAAAAUGACAAAAACCUCAGUUGCUCACGAUGACUAGAUCAGGAACGUGUUACGCUCCAGAAGAGGUGAUCUGAGGGAAUCCAUGUAGGGAAUAUAACCAAAGAAAAAACAUAACAGACACUGAGGUGGCAGAGUUUUGGAGGAAGAUGUCAGUUAAAGAAUAUUAUGUAGAAGAAAAAUUGAGGAAGCCCUUGCUCACAUAUCAAUUAUGGAUUUGUUGAUGAGCUGCGACAGUCAAAGUAACAAUUAAGGAAGACCCCUGCUCACAUAUAAAUGCAUACCAUUACCACGGCAAGUCUGGAGAAGGGAUAUCACCAAUAACCACUGAACUGGGCAGCCUACUAUGGUGGGGGAGCUUCGUCUACCUGUCUAUCAGGACCUCCAGCAUGACAUGCAGUGUCUAGAAAUAAAAAGGACGUCAGUACUAAUAAAGUACUGAGUAUGUAAGGCUAGAAGCAUAAAUAAGAAUACUAAUGUAAAGAGGGAUAGAGAAUAUACAACAUAUAUUACAAUGAAACGGACAGAAACUCCCCUAUUUAUAUGACUUCACACAAGUUACAACAAUCACCAAACAGCCUAAACAACAUCAACAAUAGCAACAACAACAAUAUAAUCCAAUAUGAGCUUCUCCGAUAUCUUAACAGUCAUAUUGAGCGGCAAGCCCGUUUUAUCUAAUAACAAAAUAUAAAUUGAAUCCAAAACUUAUUCCAUAAAUUAGUAUACAACCAUCAGGAAAUCAUACUUAUAUGUACUAUAUGAUACCUAGUUCAAAACAUCCGUAAAAUGCCUUCCAAAACAGCCCCAUACACCUAGCACCUUAACUUUUAUCGAUAAUCACUUGUUUUGCAUAUUUUCUUCUUCAAUAAACUUAAUUAACACCUUAACAUUAUCAAAUUAAUUUUCAUAAUUUCCAGCCACCACAAAAUAUAUAUUUAGCCACAAAAUAGUCCAACCAAAAAGAUAACCAUAUCCCAUGUUCUUUCAAAUGCUAUCUUAUGGUUUCUCACUCAAACAACACAACCAACACAAGAGUAACCUUAGGCACAAUCAAGAAGAUGUUAUACAUACCUUGGAAAGAAGCCACAACUCGAAACCCCAUCUCAACUUAUCCCACAAUAGCCCUUAAUCACACCACAACAUCAUAGAAGGAUUCUCUUGUAGUCUUUAACACCUUUGAUGAUGAUUUGAGAUGAUUUUCCUUAAGUUUGGUUCUUGGAUCAUGGAGAUAUUUUAGAUAGGGUUUUAAGAGCAUUUUUGGAUGAAUUUUGGGUGAGAAAUGCCCCGAAAUGAGGCUGAAACAUCUUUUAAAAGAAGAAAGGUCAGUGGCCUUCCCAAGUGUGUCCUUCUCAGUGGCCUUCUCAACCGGAGAUGCUUGCGCAAUCUCGCAAAAAUUCGAAUAUCUCCCUACUCCAACGCCGUAUUGACAAAUGGUUUAUUGUGUUGGAAAUUAGACUCAUAGAUAUUCAAUUUUGUGGUUAGAUCACCCCGUAACCCCAGGUUAAUUGAGAUAAAAUCUUAGUAACAUUUGACCUAAAGUUUAAGUAAAAUUAUGAACGUAAGUUGUGACAACUUUUAUCGACUUUUAUUUCAUAACUCGGUUGACUUCGAGACUUAUGAUACGGAUAUUAUACGAUUCAAAUACCUUAAAACAUGACCUCCUUAUAAUAUUAAGCACAUCUAGUUUUACCUGAAAAUACAGGUUACAACAUCCUUGAUUUGUUUAACUUCUAAUACUUGUUAAUCACUCUUAUACACCCUUGUAUUAUUUAAGACCAAUAGGAUUAACUUCUUAUCAAUUCAAAGGUAAUCUCUUCUCGGAUUUAUGUCGACUAACUUAAAACGUGAUCAAACGUAUGUGAAUAUGGGCUAUAACACCCCCUUCCCCCCAGGAACAUUCGUGAAUGUAAGGGUUUAUGGGAGUCUAAUUCAUCGUGGAUUCCGAAGGAAAUUUCAGGCCGAGUUUCCCCUAUAAAAAGGACACUAGCUAAACUUGCAAAAAGGUAAACCAAUAUGACAGCCUCACAAGGCCAUGCAAAUCAUUACGGAUAUGUACAUUAAUUGCAUAUCACCAUUUUGUAUUGAGGAAAAGCAUUCUCAAGCUAUUAUUUACCUCAUUGACCCGUUUUAGCUUCAUUCGCAUCCUACGUUACCCGUCAUCCUCGUUAUCUUAAAUCUGGAAUAGUUAAGGUUAUUUAGACUUCAUCUCCUCUUAUGCUUCCCAUGUCAUUUAUUCCAUAUUCUUGUUCUUCCACAAUACUUUGAUGGAAGCUACAACAUUUGUUCUCAGCUUGUGCACUUGUCGAUCUAAUAUAGCCAUUGGCACAUAUUAAUAUCACAGAUCCUCCGUAACUUGUACAUUUUUGAUAGGGACGACCCGAGAAGGGUCUCCAAUACAUUUCCUAAACAUAGAUACACGGAAUACCAGGUGGAUAAAUUCCAAUUUGGAUGGCAAAUCUAACUCAUAAGCAACAUGUCCAAUUCGUCGAAAAAUCUUGUACGACCCGAUAUACCGCAGACUCAGCUUACCCUUCUUCCCAAAAUGCAUAACACCCUUCAUCGGUGAGAUCCUCAGGAAAACCCAAUUACCAACCUCAAACUCCAGAUCAUGAUGUCGAACAUCGAAAUAAGACAAUUGCCUGCUUUGCACUGUCCUUAGUCGUUCUUGUAUCACUUUCACCUUCUCAAUGGCUCGGUGAAUCAGAUGUGGCCCAUAUAAUUCUGUUUCACCGACUUCAAACCAUCCAACUAGUGAUGCGCAUCUCCUCCCGUACAAUGCCUCAUACGGGGCCAUUUUAAUAUUGGAAUGGCAGUUAUUAUUGUAGAGAAUUCUAUAAGUGGUAGAUGGUAAUACCAAUUGCCCUUGAAAUAUAGAACACAUGCUUGUAGCAUAUCUUCAAGUGUUUGAAUGGUACGUUCAGCCUGUCCGUCAGUCUGCGGAUGGAAUGCAGUGCUGAGAUUAACUUGUGUGCCUAAACCCUUCUGUAAUGACCUUUAAAAGAUAACCGUAAAUUGAGCUCCUCGGUCUGAUAUAAUAGAUACCGGCACACCAUGAAGUUUAAGAAUCUCCUUGAUAUACAACCUCAUAUAAUCUUCAGACGUGUAAUAUGUCUUAACUGGUAGAAAAUGGGCAGAUUUUGUAAGUUCAUGAACUAAUACCCAGAUGUAGUGAAACUUAUGAUAAGAGGGAGGUAAUCAAAUAAUGAAAGUCCAUUUGACCACCUCUUAUUUCCAGGUCAGAAUCUCCAUAUUUUGAAUCAACCCACCUGGUUUCUGAUGCUCGAUCUUUACUUGUUGACAAUUAGGACAUUGGGCUACAAAUUUUGCAAUAGCCUUCUUUAUGUUGUCCCACCAGUAUAGCUUCUUAACGUCAUGAUACAUCUUUGUCGAGCCGGGAUGGAUGGAAUAUCGGGACUGAUGAAGGGAUCUCACUAAUAACCACUAAACUGGGCUGCCUACUAUGGUGGGGGAGCUUCGUCUACCUCUUUAUCAGGACCUGUAACAUGACAUACAACGUCUAUAAAUAAAAGGGACGUCAGUACGAAUAAAGUACUGAGUAUGUAAGGCAAGAAGCAUAAAUAGGAAUAGUAAUGUAAAGAGGGAUAGAGAAUUUACAACAUGUAAAUCUGAGUUCCUNNNNNNNNNNNNNNNNNNNNNNNNNGUACCCGGCCUAAAAGAGGACUCGGUUAAAACGUACCUGGCCAUCAUAAGGCUCGGUAGAAUCGUACCCCGACACGUGGAGCUGGGUAGAACACAACUGAUUAGUGGUUGCACAAUAGGUGCCAUAUCCGGCCGACUAUAGCGCAGCUCGAUAGAGUAAAAUAGAUACAUAUAUAUAAUGCAUGUUGGAUUCAUGGGAUCAUGUUCUAAACCUUCCGGAGUGAGGUAAGGUCGGUAACCUCCAUAUACGUUAUUAGAGAUAAUUUGUCAUCAUGAAUCUUAUAGGAAUACAGAAAUACCAACAACAUUUGAUACAUAAGAAUAAGAGGAGUAACAACAACAUAUAUCUUUCCAUAAGAAGGGAAACAAUGUGAGUAGUGCUUGCCUUUAAGAGUGGAGUAUCUUUGGAAGCUCAUUCAUUACGUUAUGUACAAUAGGAGUUGUGAAAAAGAAAGAAAGAGAUAGCCUAACAUACCUUGUACAUGCUGCCCAACCUCAAGCUAUAAAAAUCUCAAGGCUCCCUAGUCUACAAUAAGAGAAAUGAUACUAUCAUUAUCGUUUAAGCGUCGUAACUAGUAUAUAUCAACCACAACCUAUUUUACGAUGAAACGGAUAGAACCUCCCCUAUGUAGAUGACUUCCUACAAGUUACAACAAUCACCAAAGAGCAUAAACAACAUCAACAAUAUCAACAACAAUAAUAUAAUCCAAUAUGAGCUUCUCCGAUUAUCUUAACAAUCAUAUUGAGCGGCAAGCUCGUUUUUACUUAUAACAAAAUAUAAAUUGACUCCAACUCUUUUUCCAUAAAUUAUUUUACAACCUGAAAAAUGUCAUACUUAUUUGUACCAUAUGAUUCCUAGUUCAAAAUAUCCACAAAAUACCUUCCAAAACAGCCCCACAUGCCUAGCACCUUAACGUUUUUUGUCAAUCACUUGUUUUUCAUGUUUUCUUCUUCAAUCAACUUAAUUAACACCUAGAAAAGCUUAACAACAGAAGCCAAAACUUUAUCAAAUUAUUUUCCAUAAUUUCCAGCCACCACUAAACAUAUAUUUAGCCACAAAACUGUCAAACCAAAAAGAUAACCAUAUCCCAUAUUCUUUCAAGUGCUAUCUUAUAGUUUCUCGCUCAAACAACAUAACCAACACAAGAUUAACCUUAGGCACAAUCAAAAAGAUGUUAUACAUACCUUGGAAAGCAGCUACUACUCCAAACCCGAUCUCAACAUAGCUCAAAAUAGCCCUCAAUCACCCCACAACAUCAUAGAAGCAUUCUAUUCUAGUCUUUAACACCUUUGAUGAUGAUUUGGGUUGAUUUCCGUUGAGUUUGGUUAUUGGAUCUUGAAUAUAUGUUAGAUAGGGUUUUGGAUAGCUUUUUUGGACGAAUUUGGGUGAGAAAUGACCGAAGUGAGGCUGAAACAUCUUAUAAAAGAAUGGUCGGUGGCUAUCUCAAGUGGGUCCCAACCGAAGCUGCUUGCAUAGUCUCGCAAAAACGUAAGUAUCUCCCUACUCCGAUGUUGUAUCGACAAAAGGUUUUGUGCGUUGGAAAAUAGACUCGUAGAUAUUAACUUUGGUGGGUAGAUCACCCCGUAAUUUCAAGUAAACUGAGAAAAAAGCAUAGUAAAAUUUGACCUAAAGUUUAAGUAAAAUUAUGAACGUAAGUUGCGACAACUUUUGUUGACUUUGGUUUCAUAACUCGUUUGACUUCAAGUCUUAUGAUACAGAUAUUAUAUGAUUCAAAUACCUUAAACACGACAUCCUUAUCAUAUUAAGCACCUCUAUUUUUAAACAAAAAUACGGGUUACAAUAUCCUUGAUUCGUUUAACUUCCAAUACUUAUUAACCACUCUUCUACACCCUUAUAUCAUUUAAGACCAAAAGGAUUAACUUCUUAUCAUCUCAAAGAUAAUCUCUUCUCGGAUUUACGUCGACUAACGCAUGGCGUAAUAUAACAUAAUGCAAAUAUUAACCACCUAUCAAGCAAAAACCUUGAAAAUUCAAGCCAGAUUUGAGUCUAAAGAUAAAAGAAGAAGUCACCAAGCAGAUAGAAGUGAAUGUGGGAAAGUCACCAAUUAUCCUACAUGGUUGGCAAACAUCGUACCAGUACCGAAGAAGGUUGAGAAGAUUAGAAUAUGCGUGGACUAUCGAGAUCUUAAUAAAGCAAGCUCCAAGGACGAUUUUCGCCUACCAAAUAUCCAUAUCUUUAUUGACACUGUGCGAAACAUUACUUGGAAUUAUUUAUAGAUUGUUUCGCUGGAUAACACCAGAUUUUAAUGCACGAAGAAGACGUGGAGAAGACAUCGUUCACCGUUCGGUCUCAAAAAUGCUGAUGCUACUUACUCGAGGGCCACGAUGACCCUCUUUCACGAUAUGAUCCACAAGGAAAUUGAGGUAUAUAUGGAUGACGUCAACAUCAAGUCUCAGAAGAGUGUGGAUCAUUUAAACGACUUAAAGAAGUUCUUUGAUAGUUUGCGGAGGUACAUUUUAAAGUUGAAUCCUGUGCAUUGUGCAUUCGGAGUUCCCGUAGGAAAACUGUUAGGUUUCAUCAUCUACAUAAAAGGGAUAGAGCUGGAUCCCUCAAAGAUCAAGGCCAUUCAAGACUUGCCCCCCCUCCCCCCCAAAAGCAAUAAGGACGUGAUGAGCUUCCUCGGUGGACUAAACUUCAUCAGCAGGUUCAUAGCUUAGUCAACUGUAAUUUUUGAGCCAAUUUUAAAAUUGUUGAAGAAAGAUGUCACUACAUAGUGGACAGAAGAAUGCCAAAAAGCUUUUGACAGAAUCAAGGAAUAUUUGUCGAGUCCGCCAGUGUUAGUCCCUCAUAAGCUUGGGAAGCCGUUGCUACUGUACAUAUCCGUCUCAGAUAAUGCAUUCGGAUGCGUGUUGGGACAACACGAUGAGACUUGAAAAUGAGCAAACUAUCCAUUACGUGAGCAAGAAAUUCACACCGUAUGAAACCAGAUACACCUUUUUGGAAAGGACCUAUUGUGCUAUCACCUGGAUCGAUCAGAAGUUAAGACACUACCUAUUUGCAUAUAUUACACAUCUGAUAUCGUGGCUCGACCCGCUCAAGUUCGUCCUCAAAAAGUCGAUGUCUAAGGAAAGUUGGCCAUAUGGCAGAUUCUUCUCAGUGAGUUCGACAUUGUGCAUGUGAUGCUAAGAGCUAUCAAAGGACUAGAAUUGGCUGAUCAUCUUGGAGAGAACCCGGUUGACAAGGAUUACGAUCCACUCACCACAUAUUUCCUAGACGAAGAAGUGUUGUUUUCUCGGGAGGACAUUUAAGAGUCAUAUCCGCGAUGGAGAAUUUUUUCGACGGGGUGGCAAAUUUCAAAGGAGUAGGAAUUGGGGAAGUCCAAGUUUCUGAGUCUAGCCAACAUCAUCCGGCUUUAGCUAAGAUAAGGUUCCCUUGAUCAUCGAGGAACUUUUGGUCAUAGGAGAUUCUAAUUUGUUGAUACACCAAGUCCAGGGCGAAUGGACCACCAAGAAUGUCAAGAUCCUUCCAUACUUGCACUGCGUAAAGGAGUUGUGUAAGAAGUUCACUGAUAUUGAGUUCAAGCAUGUUCCUAGAAUCCAAAAUGAGUAUGCCGAUGCUCUUGCAACUUUGUCAUCUGUGAUCCAGCAUCCGGACAAGAAUUACAUCGACCCCAUCGAUAUAGAAGUUUGAGAUCAGCAGACAUAUUGUUUCCAAAUAUACGAUGAGCCAGAGUGUAAGCCCUGGUACCAUAACAUCAAAAGGUUCCUCGAAGCCAUAGAAUACCCAGAAAAAGCCACCAAUGGUAAGAAACGAGCAUUAAGAAGACUAGCAAAUUCUGUAUAUGAGGACCUCGGACUUUGGUAUGUUAAGGUGUGUAGAUGUUGCUGAAGCAACAAAGUUAAUGAAAUAGAUACAUGGGGGAAUUUGCGGACCACAUAUGAACGGUUUAUCCUUAGCCAAGAAGAUUUUGAGAGCCGUAUAUUUUUUGAUGACCUUGGAAAGCAAUAGCAUCUGCUACGUGCAGAAGUUUCACCAGUGACAGAUUCACGGGGAUUUCAUCCAGGUUCCACCUAAUGAGCUGAACGUACUGGGUUCUCCUUGGUCAUUCGCCAGCAUGCGACAUGGAUCUGAUUGGUCCUAUAGAACUCACCGCAUCAAACGGAAAUCGUUUCAUCUUGGUAGCCAUCGACUACUUUACCAAAUGGGUCAAAGCUUAUACAUACAAGACUAUCACGAAUAAGGUGGUGGUAGAUUUCAUCCGUAACAACAUAAUAUGCAGAUUUUGGGUUCCGAAGUUCAUCAUAACUCACAAUGCAGCCAAUAUCAACAGCAAUAUCAUGAGGAAGAUUUGCGAGAUGUUCAGAAUCGUCUGUCGUAAUUCCAUAGCCUACAGAACACUAAUGAAUGAAGAAGUUUAAGCAGCCAAAUAAAAUAUCAAGAGGAUCUUACGGAAAAUAGUGGGCAACCAUAGGCGAUGGCACGAGAAGUUAUCCUUUGCCUUAUUGGGUUACCGCACGACCAUGAGGACAUCUACUAGGGCAAUUCCAUACAUGGUGGUAUUUGGCACAUAAGCUGUGAUAGCCACAUAUGUUAGAUACCAUCUUUGUUAGUCAUUCAAGAAGCAAAGCUAGAUGAUGCAUAAUGGACACAUGUCAGGCAAGAAUAACUCAUGUUAAUUGAUGAAAAGAGAAUGGACACAAUGUGAAAUGGUCAGAUGUACCAAAAUAGGAUGGCCAACGCAUUCAACAAAAAGGUGAAACCUCGACAGUUCACACUAUGGCAACUAAUGUUGAAGAAGAUACUUCCCCAUCAAUAAGAGGCUAAGGGAAAAUUCACGCCAAAUUGGUAGGUUCCUUACAUGGUCCAUCGAGUAUUAUCCGGAGGAUAAUCGAUCCUAGUAGAAAUGGACGACAGAGUUAGCAUGAAGCCCAUCAACUUAAACGCAGUCAAGAGAUACUACAUUUAAAGAUAAUAGAAUUAGGUUUUGUUGCAACAGCACUACACCCGACCUGACUUCCCACGGUUGGAUACAUAUGCAACCCACGUAGUGUCCGGUCUUCCUCCCCUUUCGUAAUAGAAAUCCAAAUAUCAUUUUGUAUGUAUUCGGAACUACGCCACGAGUUGAUUUCCUUUUGCAGAAAUAUGUAGGCAAUCCAUAUCGGAUUCAGACAUCUAUUGUAAUUAAACUACAUUUUGGCCUGAUUCCAUUUGGAUACGUGGACAAUCUAAAUGAGACUCGGCCACCUUAUUUCAAAUUUCAUAUAAUUUUGCAUCUUUUGUAAUCGAACUAGGUGUUGACCUUAUUCAAUUUGGAUACGUAGGCUGCCUGAGUCAGGGACGGUCAUCAUAAUUCAUUUCAUAAUUUAUUAUCCUCAAACUAGGCAACCUGAAAAGCUUCGGUCUAAACCCCAGGAAAGCCUUUGUAAUGAAUUUGUUUAGAUUAGAACUUGAGCGCAACGGCAAGAAAGCUACAAGGCAUAUCCGGAAGAUCGUCAUCAACAGGAUUGAACCAUGAAGAAAUUGUAUUUGAGUCAGAAAGAACUCCUAAAUAAGUCUAAUGUGAAACGACGGCUUUUGUCUUAAACAUAAACGAUUUUCAAAAUACAUUUAUAAAAUUAUACUCAUUCACCUACUGAAAUUCAUGGCUUAACUCGCCAAAUCCGGGGCAAGGUUAGGUCUACAAUCAACAUAAAUCAACUCCCCCGCCUACUAAGAAUUUUUCUUUGAGCGCAAGAUCUACGAGAAUAUAAGGAAACUAAAAAUGCAACGGGAACAACGACGGUCCCACUACAAUCUCAUGAGCCCCUAUCUCUCCUUUAUUAUUCAAUUCAAUUUUUCGUAGGGUGAAGGACUAACUUCAAAUUCGUUGCAAGUAUUCUGGAACAAAGUCUUCGACGCAUUCAGAGCACCUUGUAUAAAACUUACAAAAGAAGAUAGGAACAUACCCAUGUAUUGCAAAUAUGUUGAUGUAAAUGAUGAAGGAGUGAUGCUACUGAGUAGCUGUUAUUUUGUAUCUUGGGGCGACGAGAUAUUUGAAUUUAAAAUCUCCGAGCUCUGGAGCAUUAUUUGCGAUGCCGGGGAUGGGCCUUUCAACUUGACUUGAUUGUUAGUCGGGUUGUGUACCAUUUUGCAGCUGUCGAAGCAUUUGAAUCUCUAUGCGAUGGGUGUGUCUCCGUGCGAUGAGAGUAAAUGGCUUUCAAUUUAAAAUCUCCGCAAGAUGGGAGUGUCUCACGCGAUGGGAGUAGUUGACUUCGUAUGUAAAAUCUCCGCAUAAUGGGAGUAUCUUCAAGCGAUGGGAGUGGUUGACUUUAAAUGUAAAAGUGCAUGUAAGCUACAUAAAUAAAAUGUCAAAAACAUUCAAGGUAAAAUAGAGAAAAAAAUGAGCAUGCCCAAGAGAUACUCUUGACUGCAGAACUAAUUUGCGGUCAUCGAUUGGCGGAACAUAUGGCGGAAUUAGAUGGUCCAUUCUUUGAUUGGCGGAGUCAGGGACGAAGUUUGCAACUAUCUACUUGGAAUAUCCUGUAUGGCGGUGUGACACUACGAUCUAUGCGAAGUGUUCUAGUUGGCGAAGUUAAUAAUUUGCUAUAUACAAUGCUCCAAUUUACGAAGCUGGCGAUCCUAUAUGUACGAGGUUCUCCGAUUGGAAGAGCAGACAAUUUGUUAUAUACAGGGCUCCGAUUGGCGGGGCCGGAAUUUUGAUAUGUACAAGACGCUCCGAUUGGUAGAGCGGAUCGGGAACUUCUUCUAAGAAGCAAACCAAGUUACACCACUAUGAGGGACAGUCUAAUUAGUAGAACUCCAAAAUCGUCAAGUCUUUCAAGUCAUAUAAUCAAGCUACAAUCUGUGGAGUCACUCUCGGUUUCAAAAUCCUCCCGUCUUGUAGUAUCGUCAAAACACGAUACUGGGGAAACUCAUGAAAGCACCACCCUCUCUAAAUUAUAAUUACAGAACUACAUGAGAUCUGAUCCUCGUAAGGCCCGAGGUAUGUAGGCAAUUCAAAGCCAGAAUCAGCCCCUAAUUUCACAAUUCAUAAUCUUUCUCAAAUCCAUAUUCCAUCACUGUAAUACAUGCCUAGAGUCGGGACAAGAUUGGUCUUUAAGUCAAUUUCUUCGCGAAAACUCUUUCAUCAUCUCCGGUCGCAGAGGGGUAGCUAUUGACGACUAAUUUUGACCCUCCCUUUUAAAAUUAAAUUAUUUACACUUAUUAACUAUCAAUAAAUGUGAUGAAAUAUUUUCUAAUCAAUAAUAUCUAUUUUUAAAAAAAUAUAAAUGAUAUAAUACAUAAUGAAUUAGCAAUAUUAAAUUAAUAGUAAUUUAGCGUUAAAUAUUUAUGAAUUAUAUUACUCCUACUGUUUUAAUUGAUUAAAAUAACUUUCAUAUCAUAAUAAAUAAGUUUUACAAUUAUUUUUAUAAUUUAUAACUAUGUUACCUUAUUACUUUAAUUAGCCAAAACUAGUUUUCACAAUUCAAUAUAUAAAGUAUUAUAAUUUCAACAACCAACUAAUUAUAGUGAUUACUUAAUUAUAUAUUUGAUAGUUAUAUUUUAUUAUAUUUAGUUAGGAUUAAGUAAGUCCAAUUAAUUUAAUUAUAAAGGGAGCUAAGAACUCAAAAAGGUUGUAAGUGCAAUUGUCUAAUUAAAUCUAAUAUGGCUAUGAAUUAAAGUCCAUUUCAGCUUAUUUAGCCCAAAAUGCACAAGCUCAAACAUCCCAACCCGGUCCAGAACCCCCAUCCCAAUCCAAGUUGGCAAUCCAUGCCAAUCCAUGUGAACCAAUCAACGAAUCCCAAGUCACCCAUCCUUUAUGCUCACAAAAGAAACGCAAGUGAAUCUGGGCCGUUGAUCCAACGAUCAACAGUCCAUGAUUAAUAUUUGUUUUUAUUUUAUUUAUAAGAAUUUUUCAUAUUUUAUUCUAACCGUUGGAUCACAAAGAUCAAACGGCUGUGCUUUUUUCCUCAUAAUAAAUUUUUAAUGAUUUUAAACUAUGAAAUAUUAGGGCCGUUGAUCAAAUGAUCUAACAGUCCAGAUUCACUCAUGAAUUUUAAACUCACCAAACGUCCCUAACCCUAAUCAUUUUCUCCCCACACCGAUGCCUCUCUUUCCUAGAUCUCUCUAUUUUCUCUCAUCCCCUCCGGCUCCAUUGGUCACAAAUCCUUGCAUAAAUUUGUGCAAGGUCAUAAAAUCAAACCCCAAAUCAUUCAAUUUGCCCCCUACAUUCGUGAAUCAAGCCGAAAUUUCCAUCAUGAUCACCAAAAUUCAAAAAGCCCAAUUUAAAUCCUAGACCUAAAUUAUGCAACCUGAAAUCGAUCAAUCUCUCCUUUGUAAUUUCAAAUACAUGACAUUCAUGGUUGCUUGUCCCUUAAUUCAUUGUUAUAUUCUUUAUCCAGAGGUGAAAAGCAGUGGUCUCUUGAUAUUAGAGUUUGACCGGCAGUCCAAAGCUUCAACGAUCGACCCUCGUGCCCAGGUAGUUUCUGUGAUGUUUUCACCUUCAUUCCUCAUUGAUUUCACCCUCGUUUAUAACAUCAUCCAACCUUCGUGACUUUCCACUACCAAUUUAAAAUUUGAACGGAACCCUAGCUAUUGAAUGCUCUUCGCUUGGUUUGCUGCCCUGUAGAAGGUCAGUGCCUCCUGACAUCUCUCUUUACUAUGAACUAGUUGUGUGGUUCUAUGUUCCUGAUGUUGUCUUAACUGAUUUUCCAUCGUUUAUGUUAGCUGUUAAUGAUAGAAAAUUUUGUUUGUGAUAAUCAGUCUUUGUAUGCUAUUUUCACUAUUAACUUAGGAACUUUCUAAUUGAAACAUGUUAUACUAAUUUUGUUAUUAAUCCAUGUAAUUAAAACCUUAGCUUUCAAGACUCAAUUAGUAAAAAUUACUAUAAACUAACUAACACUCUUGUGAUUAACCUUGAUAGGCUUAUGUGACUAAGCUAGGAUUAGUUUUGUACACUACAUACCUCUACUAGUUGAAUAAUGAUAUCAGGUCGACUAAAAUCAAAUUCUUUAACUCUUCUUUGUGUUCUUGUGCUUCUAGACUGUUUGACUCCUUUACUUGUGACACUGUGAGUGGAUUCCCUGUAUCUUAUGCCUUGUAGCAUGUCGACUUUAACAAUCUCGGCUUGUCAAAUGUGAUGCCUUGUUAAUACUGCAGAUAAGUGUUAUUUUCAGACCGUGUUAAGGCUUUAUCCUAUUAUUGUGUAUCACAUGUUAGUUAAGAAACUAGUCCUAAAAUUAGACUAUUAAGCUAUUCUUGAGAAUACUAUUAACAUUUACUAACACUAAAUUAUCUCAAAGUUUGUGAGUGUCCUGUAGUGUGGUUUAGCUCUUAUGUUGACCUACUAAUUCUGAUUAACAUCCUGCUUAUAUAGUUAUAGUAGAAUAGUCCUUGUGUGUCCUCUGUAAUGAUGUGAUAACUAAUGAAUCCAUGUAAUGGAUCUUACUAAGUGUGUUGGGAAGACUAUUCUUCACUAAUCCCUGUAGUUAGCUUAAUAUUAACCCUUUCAUGACUAUUAGAGUCUUUGUGAGUUUCCUGCUACUACAUUAAUGACCUUUGCACCCGAAUUACUUCUUUCAUGUUAACCCCCUUGCUAUGUUCUCGAACUGUUCUAUGACUUUAUGUUGGAGAGCAUGUAUAUUUGUACUUGUGUACAAACCUUUACUUUCCCUGGUUUUGGCUCUGCGAUAGUGCUUUACUUGAUUUUAAUAUGUGAAUGUUUCCAUCAAGGGACCUGCUCUCAUUUCUGAUAGUAAUUUAUUCUUGCGAGUUUAACUAAUAAGACUUACCUGUAACUCUGCACCAUCCUGAACAUUACAUGUAUUCAUACAAAUCGUGCAUUGGAUCAUGUUAGUAUACUAUACAAUUAAGCCUAAACCUAUCUGUAUGACCAGUUGUCUGCUCGAUGUGACAUGCUUAAUGUCUCUCACCUAUAUGGCCUGCUCUUAACCAUUCUGAAACCUCUUUUUUUAGAAAAUCUGUGAACAUGCCUACUAUUUGAAAUUUGUUUCCCUGUUUGACUAUCUCUCAUGCUUAAUUGUGUAUCCCAUAUUCUAAUCCUCUCAAUCAAUACUAUGAUCUUAGUUGCUAUUAUGCCUUGAUGAUGAACUGCAGUGCUUUGUUUGUUCAUUGUUAUCAACCUUUGUGUGUGUGUUGAACUUUCAAAAUGGUUACCAUGGCUCAUGCAUAUAUUGUUUAUGUCUUAGCAGUAUUAAUUCAUUAUGUUGAUUCAUUUAUUUAUGUUUAAGCAUCUGAGGAAGAUUAGAAGUAGGUGGUUAAUGGUAUUUGGGUGUGCAACUCGUUGUGGUUGUGAUCGCUUUCCUUGACAGAAGCACCGCUCGGGGUCCAUGAGACCCUCAUGAAGUUUGAAGUGCCAAGGGUUCAAAGGAGGAUCAUAUCUAGAAAUGCGGAUCUACACCAAGUCCUUAAUUACAAAACCCUAUGUCACGACCCAAAUUCUCCCUCCGUGAAACGUCGUGACGGCACCUAGUCUCUACGACUAGGUAAGCCUAAUACUUGUGGAAAUAAAAUGAAAAACAUGAAAAUUCAACAACUAACAGUAGAAGAUAUUUUAAUAAGCAUAUGAGAUGCCGCUCGAAAUAUACAAUAAUCAACUCUCGAAAUAUACAUGACACUCCCAAGAGCAGGAAUGUUGUAAGUCACAAGCUUCUACGAAGUUCUAAUUGUUCUAUACAUCAGUGUCGAUAGAAAUAAGAUAAGGAUCAACAUAGGGGGAUAGAGGGGGACUCCGAGGAUCUGCGGGCAUGAGCAGGUGUACCUUGAAGUUCUCCGAAAGAGCAAUAACUGCAACCAAGGACGAGGCUGGUAAAAGGAACCUGGAUCUACACACAAAAAAUAUUUGUAGAAAAAGGCGUGAGUACACUACAACGAUACCUGUAAGUGUCGAGCCUAAACUCAGUGGAGUAGUGACGAGGUCAGGUCAGGCCCAUUGGUAUAUAAUAAAAAAAGAGAAUAAGCUGUACAAUAAGAGACUAAGGUUCAAUGAAGGAAAGCAUAGUGAAAUAACAUAACCGUACACGGAAUUAAGCGACAUUGGAUCUCUCGAGAUACCGUCUCGUAGUCCCAAAAGUAAAUAUGCAGGGAGAACUCCCGAGGUACCGCCUCGUAGUCUCAAAGUAAAUGUGUAUGGGGAUCUCCCGGGAUACCGUCUCGUAGUCCUAAAAGUAAAUAUGUAGGGGGAUCUCCCGAGAUACCGUCCCGUAGUGCCAAAAGUAAAUAUCCAGGGAGAUCUCCUGGGAUACCGUCCCAUAGUCCAAAAGUAAAUACACAGCGCAAUCAAUUAAAACGACAAGUACAGCAAGAGAAAUCUACAGUCUACACUAAGUACAAGUCGGGAAAAGAGCAGGAAUUCAAUAGGCAUGCUGCAAAGAGUUCAAUUAAGAAAAAUAAGGCAAGUAGACAUGUUAUUCUAAGCUAACAGGGCAACUACACAUGCUAGUACAUUAAAUUAAGGUGGAAACAGGAAAUUUCUCAGUAAAAAAAUCAGUAUUUCAACAAAUAGCCCGUGUACGCAGUCGUCACCUCGCGUACACGGUGCUCGCAUAGUAAAAUUAGUACUAAAUCUGAAGGGGAUUUCCCCCCACAUAAGGUUAGGCAAGCCACUUACCUCAAACCAAGCUCAAUCAAUCCGUAACAAUGCUCUUUCCAGGAAUAUCCGACUCCGAAUUAUCCAAAUCUAGCCAAAAUCAAUUACAUACCAUAAAUACAACUAUAAGAAUUAAUAUAAUUAAUGAAAUCAAAGCUAAAGUAAGAAAUUGGAAAAUUGCCCUAAAAAGCCUCCCUGGGCCCAUGUCUCGGAAUCAAGUAAAAGUCACCAAAUUUGAAUACCCAUUCACUCACGAGUUCACUCGUACCAAAAUUAUACAAAUCCGAUGUCAAAAUCCCAAUCAAAACCCAAAAAUUUUAGUUGAAGAACUUCUUCCCAUUUUUCAACCCAAAUCCGAAAUUUAAUGAUGAAAUUAAUGAUAGUUCAAUGGAAUAUAACGAAAAUCAAGUGUAGAAUCAUUACCCAAUCGAUGUCUCUGAAAAUCCCGCAAACUCUCAUCCAAAUCCGAUCUCCCAAACUCAAGUUUUGAUUAAAAUGGCCAAACCCUCAUUUUUGAAAUGUUUAAUACUGCCUAGUGAUUCCUUAAUCGCGAUUCAAACUUAAUGAAUUUGAAACUUCAAAUUUCCACAACCGAUGCAGAAACCUAUCAAACCACGUCCGAUUGACCUAAAAAUUUGCACACAAGUCGUAUUCAGCAUUACGGACCUAUUCCAACUUCUGGAAUCGGAAUCCGACACCGGUAUCAAAAUUCCACUACCGGUCCAAAUCUCUAAAAUAUUGACUUUCACCAUUUCAAGCCUAAAUGAGCUCUAGACCUCUAAAACACUAUUCGGGCAGGCCUUUAAGUCCAAAAUCACCUAACGGAGCUAACGGAACCGACAGAAUCUAUUUAGGAGUCAUCUUCACACAGUUCCGACUACGGUCCAAAUCCUAAGGCUUAAACUUUCAUUUAGGGACUAAGUGUCCCAAAAGACUCAAAAUAUAUAAAUGAAACCUCCCGGCAAGUCACAAUAGUAGAAAUAGAUAUGGUAGAAGCAGUUAAUAGGGGAUCGGGGCUAUAACUCUCAAAAUGACCGGCCGGAUCGUUACAUCCUUCCUCUCUUAAAACAAUCGUUCAUCCUCGAACGAGCAUAAAGACAUAUCUGAAGUGGUGAAAAGAUGAGGAUAACGGUUGCGCAUAACAUGCUCGGUAUCCCAAGUCGCCUCCUCGACCGGCAGACCCCUCCACUGAACCUUCACGGAUGCAAUGUUUUUUAACCCCAGUCUUCAAACCUGCUUGUCUAAAAUAGCCACUGGCUCCUCGACAUAAGAUAGAUCCUUGUCCAACUGGACUGAGUUUAAAUCAAACACAUGAGUCGGAUUGCCGUGAUACUUCCAGAGCAUAGAAACAUGAAAUACUGGGUGGACCCCUGCAAGACUGUGAGGCAUGGUAAGCUCAUAAGCAAUCUCCCUAACAUGUAGGAUACCUCAAAUGGGCCGACAAACUGUGGGCUCAGCUUGCCCUUCUUUCCGAACCCCAUAACGCCCUUUAUAGGCGAAACCCGGAGCAAGACCCACUCUCCAACCAUGAAUGUAACAUCGCGAACCUUCCGGUCUGCAUACCUCUUCUGUCUAGACUGGGAUGUGCGAAGUCGAUCCUGAAUCACCUUCACCUUAUCCAGGGCGUCCUGAACCAAGUCUGUACCCAAUAAUCUAGCCGCGACCGGAUCGAACCAACCCAUUGGGGACCGGCACUGCCUACUAUACAGAGCCUCAAACGGUGCCAUCUGGAUGCUCGACUGAUAACUGUUGUUGCAGGCAAACUGCACAAGUUGUAAGAACCGAUCCCAAGUACCCCUAAAAUCUAUCACACAAGAGCGGAGCAUAUCCUCCAGUAUCUGAAUAAUGCGCUCAGAUUGUCCGUCCGUCUGAGGGUAAAAUGUUAUGCUCAACUCAACCCGAGUACCCAUCUCCUGCUGUACAGCCCUCCAAAACCUUGAUGUAACUUUCAUACACCGAUAAGAGAUGAUAGAUACAGGGAUGCCAUGAAGCCUGACGAUCUCGCGAAUGUACAUUCGAGCUAGCUACUCGGAAGAAUAAGUAGUCAUCAUAGGAAUGAAAUGAGCUGACUUGGUCAGGCUAUCAACAAUCACCCAAACCACAUCAAACCUCCGCUGAGUCUAUGGGAGUCCAACAAAGAAAUCCAUAGUGAUCCGCUCCUAUUUCCACUAUGGAAUCUCUAACUUCUGAAGCAACCCAUCCGGCCGCUGAUACUCAUACUUCACCUGCUGAAAAUUUAUGCCUCAAGUCAUGAUACAUCUUCGCGGCACCCGGAUGAAUAGAGUACUGUGAGCUUUGAGCCUCCUAAAGAAUCAACUCACGCAAACCAUCUACAUUAGGUACACAUAGCCUGCCCUACAUACUCAAUACGCCAUCAUCCCCAAUAGUGACCUCCUUAGCAUCAUCGUGCUAAACCGUGUCCUUAUGGAUAAACAGGUGGGUGUCAUCAUACUGACGCUCCCUGAUACAAUCAUAAAGAGAAUACCGAGAGACCACACAAGCCAAUACUCAACUCGGCUUAGAAAUAUCCAAUCUCACAAACUGGCUGGCUAAGGCCUGAACAUCCAAUGCUAAGGGUCUUGGUGCUGCUGGAAGAUAUGCUAAACUCCCCAAACUCUCCGCCCGACAACUCAAUGUAUCGGCCACCACAUUGGCCUUCCCCGUGUGGUACAAAAUUAUGAUAUCAUAAUCCUUAAGUACCUCCAACCACCUCCGUUGAUGCAAGUUAAGAUCCUUUUGCUUGAACAUAUGCUGCAAAUUCCGAUGAUCGGUGUAAAUCUCACAAAGGACACCAUACAAGUAGUGCCGCAGAAUCUUCAGGGCAUGAACAAUAGCUGCUAACUCAAGGUCGUGGACCGGAUAGUUCUUCUCAUGCGCCUUCAGCUAUCUGGAUGUGUAGGCAAUCACCCUACCGUCCUGCAUCAACACCGCACCAAGACCAAUCCGCGACGCAUCACAAUAUACAAUGUAGGACCCCAAACCUAUAGGCAAUACCAAACCUGUGGCUACAGUCAAAGCUGUCUUCAGCUUCUGAAAGCUCUCCUCACACUCCUAUGUACACUUGAAUGGAGAACCCUUAUGGGUCAGCCUGGUCAUAGGUGCUGUAAUAGAUAAGAAUCCCUCUACAAAAUGACGGUAAUACCCCGUUAAACCAAGAAAACUACGUAUCUCCGUAGUCGAUGACGGUCUAGGCUCACUCUGCACUACUUCCACCUUCUUAGGAUACACCUUGAUCCUAUCACUCGAUACUACAUGGCCCAAUAAUGCCACUGAGUCUAGCCAAAACUCACACUUAGAAAAUUUUGCAUAUAACUUCUUUUCUCUCAAGGUCUGAAGCACAGUCCUCAGCUCAUGAUCCUCCCGAGUCCAGGAGUACACCAGAAUGUCAUCAAUAAACACAAUAAUGAAAGAGUCAAGAUAAGGCCAGAACACACUAUGCAUCAAGUGCAUAAAGGCUGAUGGGGCAUUGGUCAGCCCAAAAUACAUAACCAGAAACUCAUAGUGACCAUAUCAGGUCUUGAAAGCAGUCUUCGGGAUAUCUGGCUCCUGAAUCUUUAACUGAUGAUAUCCUGAACAUAAGUCAAUUUUGGAGAACACUUUGGCACCCUGUAACUGAUCAAAUAAGUCAACAAUACGAGGAAAUGGAUACAUGUUCUUCAAUGUAACUUUGUUCAGCUGGCGAUAAUCAAUACAUAUACGUAUAGAACCAUCAUUUAUCUUCACAAACAAGACAGGAGAAUCCAAGGUGACACACUGGGCAGAAUGAAGACCUUAUCAAGCAACUCCUACAAUUGCUCCUUCAACUCCUUCAACUCAGGAGGAGCCACACGUUAUGAAGGAAUAAAGAUGGGGUGAGUGCCCGCCAACAAAUCAAUGCCAAAAUCAAUAUCUCUGUCGGGCGGCAUACCCGAAAGAUCAGCUGGAAACACAUCUUGAAAGUCCCUCACUAUUGGGACCGACUCAAUUGUAGGGGUAUCAAUACUGACAUCUCUCACAUAAGCUAGAUACGCGUUACACCCCCUCUCAACCAUUCAUUAGCUUUAAGAAAUGAAAUAACUCGGCUGGGAGUAUACUCUAAGGUACAUCUCCACUCUAAUCGUGGUAAACCUAGCAUAGUCAGCGUCAUGAUCUUAGCGUGACAACCAAGAAUAGCAUAAUGGGACGAAAACCAGUCCAUGCCCAAGAUAACAUCAAUAUCUACAAUGCUGAGCAAUAAUAAAUUGGCUCUGGUCUCAAAACUACUAAGAGCAAUCAAACACGACCGAUACACGGGUUCUACAAUAAGAGAAUCUCCCAUAAGAGUAGACACAUAAACAGGGGAACUCAAAGAAUCCUGAGAUACGCCCAAAUGUGGGGCAAAAUAAGAGGACACAUAGGAAUACGUAGAGCCUGGGUCAAAUACUACUGACGCAUCUCUAUGACAGACGGUAACAAUACCUAUAAUGACAGAGUCAGAAGCAACUACCUAUGUACGGGCCGGAAGAGCAUAAAACCUGGCUUAGCCUCCCCCUCUAGGGUGACCUCGACCUCCCCAACCUCUACCUCGAGCUGGCUGAUCAGGUGGGGCGGUAGCUUGUGCUGGAAUCAUGGCCUGAGGGCUCGGUGGAGCACGUGGUGGCUGAGAAGUCUUUGGAGGUGCAACCCUCCUAUGUUUGGGGCAAUCCUUCACCAUAUGGUGGGUAUCACCACACUCAAAACAACACCUCGGAGGGCGUGGCUGCUGUGACGGACUUGGGCUAGGUCUGCUGGACUGGAUGCUAAAAGUUCCCCGAGAAGGAGGCACAUUAGAUACUGGCGGUGCAUAGUAAGGCUCCUGGGGCCGAGAAGAGGCUGGAACACCACAGGCGGCUGGAAGAACUGAAUAAAUGGGGAGACCCACAUAACCCAUACCAUGGCAAACUUCUGGGGCACGAGCUCUAGAAUAAGAACCAGUCUGUCGAUACCUCUUGGCAUCUCUCUCCUCUCGGUCCCGGGCAAGCAUGCCCUCCAAUCUCCUAGCAAUACCCAUAACCUACUAGUAAGGAAUAUCCAUCUCCAACUCCCUGACCAUACUAAUCCUGAUACUGAGGUGGAGUCCCUCAAUAAACUGUCGAACCCUCUCUCGAACUGUGACAACCAAGGCUGGUGCAUGUCAGGCCAAAUCACUGAAGCGGACUGUAUACUCUGACAUAAUCAUAGCACCCUAGCACUGCUGCUCAAAUUCCAAGCACAAUGAGUCCCUAAGGCUCUGAGGGACAUACUCCUUCAAAAACAUGUCCUAAAACUUAGUCCAUGUAAGUGAAGCUGCCUUAUCCGGACUACUCAACUCAUAAGCAUGCCACCACUGAUAGGCUGCUCCUUUAAGCUGGAAAGUGGUAAAAGAAACUCCACUCGUCUCCGCUACGCCCAUAGUAAGGAGAAUACGAUAACACUCCUCCAGGAAACCCUGAGCAUUAUCUGUAGCCAAUCCGCUUAAGGUAGGUGGGUGGUACGUCUUGUACAUCUCAAGUCUGAGCUGCUCCGCCUCAAAAGCGGUUGUCCUAGUCUCAUGCUGAACCGGAGCUACCGGUGGCAUAGGAAUAAACUCUGAGUCCUGAUCAGCCUUGACCCUCUGCUCAGGAGUACGGACUGUGGGAGUCUAUGCCCCUCCCCCGGCCUGAGAUGUGGCGGGACCUAGUGGGAUCAAUCCAGCCUGAGCUAAACUACUGGACAGGCUCAUGAACUGGGCUAGAGUCUCUUGGAGGGCUGGUGCAGCAAUAGGAAUAUCCGGUGGCUGCCCUCCAGCUGGAACCGCUAGGGGAUCCUCUGUCGCAGCUCGCGUGGGUGCUAUGGCUGCACCGCAUGGCCGUACUCUAUCCCGGCCCCGGACUCUUGCGGCUCUAGUAGGGGGCGCGGGUGCCUGGUCAUCAGAUCCUCCGGUACGGGUCCGCGCCAUAUGUGAGAAAAUAAAAUAGAGAAUUUUUAGAAUUUGAUGCCAAUAACUUACAUGACAAGGAAUCAAAAGAAGUACGGUUGUUCCUAACAGUUCCAUAGCCUCCCGAAGAUAAGUACAGACGUCUCCGUACAGAUCCGCGAGACUCUAAUAAACCGGCUUGUUACUCACGACACCUACGAACCUAGGUCUCUGAUACCAACUUGUCACGACCCAAAUUCUCCCUCCGUUAAACGUCGUGAUGGCAUCUAGUCUCUAUGACUAGAUAAGCCUAAUACUUGCGAAAAUGAAAUGAAAAACCUAAAAAUUUAACAACUAACAGUAACAUAUAUUUUAUUAAGCAAAUGAGAUUCCGCUCGGCAUAUACAAUAAUCAACUCUCGAAAUAUAUAUGACACUUCCAACACCCGGAACACCGUAAGUCACAAGCUUCUACGAAGUUCUAACUAUUCUAUACAUGAGUGUCUAUAAAAAUAAGAGAAGAAUCAACAUAGGGGCAGAUGUACCUUGAAGUUCUCCAAAACAGCAACAACUGCAAUUAAGGACGAGGCUGGUAAAAGGAACCUGUAUUUGCACACAAAAAAUAUGUGCAGGAAAGGGCAUGAGUACACUACAGUGGUACCCAAUAAGUGCUAAGCCUAACCUCAGUCGAGUAGUGACGAGGUCAAGUCAGGCCUACGGGUAUCUAAUAAUACAAACAGGAGAAUAAGCAGUAUAAUAAGAGACUAAGGUUCAAUGAAGGAAAGCACAGUGAAAUAACAUAACAGGGGAUCUCCCACGAUACAGUCUCGUAGUCCCAAAACUAAAUAUGCAAGGAGAACUCCCGAGGUACCGCCUCGUAGUCUCAAAGUAAAUAUGCAGGGGGAUGUCCCAGGAUACCAUCCCGUAGUCCUAAAAGUAAAUAUGCAGGGGGAUCUCCCGAGAUACCGUCCCGUAGUCCCAAAAGUAAAUAUGAAGGGGAUCUCUGAAGAUACUGUCCCGUAGUACCAAAGUAAAUACACAGUGUAAUCAAUUACAAUCAAUAAGUAGAACAAGAGAAAUUUACAAUCUAGACUAAGUACAAGUCGGGAAAGAAGCAGGAAUUCAAUAGGCAUGCUGCAAAGAGUUCAAUUAAGCAAAAUAAGGUAUGUAGACAUGUUAUCCUAAGCUAACAGAAUAACUAUGCAUGCUAGUAUAUUCAAUUAAGGUAGAAGCAGGGAAUUUUUUAGUAAAAAGAUCAGGUUUUUCAACAAAUAGCUCGUGUACGCACUCGUCACCUCGCGUACAUGGCGUUCGCAUAGUAAAAUCAGGACCAAAUCCUAAGGGAAUUUCCCCCACACAAGGUUAGGCAGCUCACUUACCUCAAACCAAGAUCAACCAAUCUGUAACACUGCUCUUUCCACGAACAUCCGACUCCGAAUGGUCCAAAUCUAGCCAAAAUCAAUUACAUACCAUAAAUACAGCUAUAAGAAUUAAUCUAAUUAACGAAAUCAAAGGUAAAGCAAGAAAUUGGAAAAUCGCCCUAAAAAGCCUUCUCAGGCCCACGUCUCGUAAUCGAGUAAGAGUCACCAAAUAUGAAUACCCUUUCACUCACGAGUUCACUCGUACCAAAACUAUCCAAAUCCGAUGUAAAAAUCCCAAUCAAAACCUAAAAAUCUUAGUUGAAGAAUGUCUUUCCGUUUUUUUCAAUUUUCAACCCAAAUCCGAAAUUUAAUGAUGAAAUUAAUGAUAGUUCAAUGGGAUAUAACCAAAAUCAAGUGUAAAAUUAUUACCCAAUCUAUGUCUCUGAAAAUCUCCCAAAAUUUAGUCCAAAUCCGAGCUCCCAAACUCAAGUUUUAAUAAAAAUGGCCAAACCCUUAUUUUUGAAAUGUUUAAUACUUCCCAGUGAUUCCUUAAUCGCGAUCGCGGAAAUAGCCUCGCGAUCGCGAAGAAUAACUUUGCUGCCCCAAAAAUUAACUCUACGCGAAUGCAUAAAAUACCACGCGAACGUGAUGCUCUGACUCUCAUACUUACGCGAUCGCGAACAACCCUACACAUUCGCGGCGAGCAAAGUGUGUGGCCCAGCUUUGGUCCACUUAAGCCUACGCGAACCCGACCUUGUCUCUGCGUUCGCGAAGAACCACCUCACUUCACUACGCGUUCGCAUGACCCUAUCCGCGAACGCGAAGAACAAUUCCAUCCUCUUGCCCAUCUAGCGUACGCGAUCGCGGAUCACCCCACGUGAUCGCGUAUAAGGAAACCAGAACUUAGAGACCAGGAAUCUUCAGCAACCUCUUAAGUCCAAAAAGCGAUCCGCUGGGCAUCCGAAACACACCCGAAGCCCCCGAGACCUCAACAAAACAUAUCAAAUAGUCCUAAAUCACCAUACGAACUUAGUCGAGCCCUCAAAUCACAUCAAACAACGCUAAAAUCCCGAAUCGCCCUCCAAUUCAAACAUAAUGAACUUGAAACUUCAAAUUUCUAUAACCGAUGCCGAAACUUAUCAAGCCACGUCCGAUUGACCUAACAUUUUGUACACAAGUCGUAUUCAACAUUACAGACCUACUCCAACUUCCGGAAUCAUAAUCCGACCCCUGUAUCAAAAUUCCACUACCGGUCCAAAUCUGCAAAACUUCGACUUUCGCCAUUUCAAGCCUAAAAGAGCUAUAGACCUCCAAAACACUAUCCGGAAAUGCCCCUAAGUCCAAAAUCAUCUAACGAAGCUAACUGAACCGACGAAACUCCAUUCCGGAGUCAUCUUCACAUAGUUCCAACUAGGGUCCAAAUUCUAAGGCUUAAACCUCCAUUUAUGGACUAAGUGUCCCAAAAUACUCCAAAAAUCAAAACGAAACCUCCCGGCAAGUCACAAUAGCAGAAAUAGAUAUGAGAGAAGCAAUUAAUAAGGGAUCAGGGAUAUAACUUUCAAAAUGACUGACCGGGUCGUUACACCCUAUUAAUCCUCAUAGGAUUAGCAUAAAUAAAAUCUACCUUACUAUAGUCUACAGCUCUUUAUUACCAUUUAUAAUUUUAUCUUACUUAGUUUUGUACAAUUGAUUUGCUUUAAUUAUUCUCUUUUAUUUAUAUGCAUGAAUUUAACUUGUCCAUGUUGAGCCCAUUCGAAGAUCAUGUCCACUUUCAGACCUAGGUUGUCAUAUUCCUGUCGCGCCUGUUGUUCGUGCUCAUGGUGUUGGUCCUCGUUAAGCCUACUAAGCCCAGAUCGCCAAGGUUCCAGUUUCUUUCCCCUUAUUUAUUUUAAAUUUAUUUCGCUAUUGUUUGAUCUGUCAUAUAUGUAUAUUCUUAAAUGACUAACAUUAUUAUAGGAUAACAUAAAUUCCUUGAUUGUGUAGGAACGUAGGCAAACCCAAAGAAUACAGGGUAAAAGAAUCAAGCCAAAUUCUGCUCAUUCUAGGAUUGUCAAUGUUUGAUUACUAACUGAUUUCCAUGUUUAUCUUUCUUUUUCUUUUUUUAAUAUGAAAGGUUCUAUCUUUAUCACUAACAACUUUCAAUAAGUUUAUGUUUUGAAAGAUACCAAUAGCAAUGUGAAACCCCUUUGGAAAUUAGAACUGCGAAAGAAAAUUGAAAAGUUGUUUUCAUGAAACAAAACAAAACCAAACACAACAAACUUUUACAAAUGGGUGGACCCCAACGAAAAUUUCAAAAUUCAUGGUUUUUAUAUAUUUGAUUUUCAAGACUAAUGAUUUGUAUUAAAAUAAGUCUUCACCUUACUAAAUCUCAUACAAAUUAACUGCUUUUCUAACAUACACACCUAACUCUCUUUCAAACAAGAAUGCCCUUAUUACAAGAUUUUAAGAUAUAUCCGGCUUUUCAAUUUCAUAAGUAUACACAUUUCAAAGGUGACUUUUUUGUAUAAAAACCAAGCUUCUAACCUCUUUCCAAGGUACAUACACGCCCCAUUUCUUCUUAAAAUAGUGAACCUUAGACUUAGAACAUUUUUUUAGAUUUUGAGCACUUGACUAAGCAGAGUAUAGACUUUCCUUUCCCAAACCUAGCCUAAUCUUAAGUAGCUACCCCAUGUAGAUUCUGUGGGGUGCCUAACACCUUCCCCUUUGAAUAACUAGAGCUGUUACCCAAAUCUCACCGGCUAUCAGACUAUUAGGAUAAUAAUAAACCUAUAGGUACCCUAAUAUACCUUAAAAUAUUAGGUGGCGACUCCAUUUAUCAACUUUAGAUGAACCACUAGUUGUAUUUUAUUUUGACUUGUACAGAAUAUGGUGCAACAAUGAAGUAUGGAUACAGACCAGGGUCUAGGAUAGGACCCCGAUCAAAUGGGAUAAGUAAGCCAAUACAAACCAAAGGGUAGAAAGGCACCGCCGACUUGGGAUACCAAACUGCGAGUGGAAAAACAUACAAUGGUGAUCCUGGGACGAAUGUUUUCUUACUAGAGAAUGUUUCGGGCCCGGGUCAGAGCUCACCACCAGAAGAAGAUAUCAUAAGCAGUCUGGGAAGAUUGUUUGUGGAAAUGACCGAAGAAUGUUACGUUAAAGUUGAUAUCAAGACACCGACCAUUCAGGGUGUUGAACCACGAGAAACCUUGCAGAACUGGACAGUCGGAUCAUCUUUGUUUCGUCGGGAGUCGUGGUAGUGUGGAAUUGUAGUAAUUCUGAAAACUACAUGGUCAAUUGAGACUUGAACCAUGCAUGUUCGUUUUUGUUAAACCACCUCUUUGAACAGUGAGACAUUCCUUUUGAUGAAAUAAACGAAUCAUUUUCUUGAAAAUCAUUGCAAAUUUAUCUUUGUCUUUAUUUAUAAUAGAUCUUUUUCAGCAAUCAAAUUAAUAAAAAAACUACGUUCCACGAUUAUGACAUGUAAUGAAACCCUCGAGCCAAAUGAUCCAGACUAUGAAUAGUACUCUGAGAGCAUGAUACCUGAGAAUCUAUUGCAAGAGAUCGAAUAGCUGAAAAAUCAAAAGAAGCCCUACCUCAAUGAGACAAAUGUGAUCAAUCUGCGAAAUGAGGAAGAUGUAUAAGAGACUCUAAUCGGGAUCCGCCUGAAGGUAGAACAGAGGAAAGAACUGGUAGAGCUCCUCCCAUAAUACAUCGAUUUAUUUGCUUGGUCAUAUGACAACACGCCCGGACUAAGUACCGAUAUUGUGUAGCAUCGAUUGCUUAUCAAUUCCCCCAAGCCACCAGUCAGCCAAAAACCUAGAAAAUUCAAGCCAGAUUUGAGUCUAAGGAUUAAAGAAGAAGUUACCAAACAAAUGUAAUCAAAUGUAGUAAGGGCACCAAUUACCCUAGUUUGUUAGCGAACAUCGUACCGGUACCGAAGAAGGAGGGGAAGCUUAGGAUACGCGUGAAUUACCGAGAUCUCAACAAGGCUAGUCCCAAGGAUGAUAUUCCUCUGCCAAAUAUCCAUAUCAUUAUUGACAACAGUGCAAAACAUGAAUUGCAAUCAUUCAUGGAUAGUUUUGUUGGAUAUCACUAGAUUCUGAUGCACAAAGAAGAUGCGGAAGAGAAAACAUUCACCAACACCAAAUGGGUCGAGUCUCCCACAUACAAGGUUGUCACAAAGAAGGUGGUAGUAGAUUUGAUUUGUAACAACAUAGUUUGUCGAUUUGGGAUUCCAAAGUUAAUUAUAAAUGACGAUGCAGCCAAUCUCAAUAGCAAUCUCAUGAGCGAGAUUUGCGAUAAGUUCAAAAUCAUCCAUCGUAAUUCCACAACAUACAGGCCACAUAUGAAUGGAGCAGUUGAAGUAGCCAACAAAAAUAUUAAGAGGAUCUUGCGGAAGAUAGUGGACAAUAACAGAAAAUGACAUGACAAACUAUCAUUUGCCAUAAUUGGUUACCACACUACUAGGAGGACAUCUAUUGGGGCAACGCCAUAUAUAUUGGUAUAUGGCACAAAAGUUGUAAUAGCCGUAGAGGUCAAGAUACUAUAUUUGAGAAUUAUACAGGAAGCCAAGUUAGAUGAUGGAUAGUGGAUACGUAUCAGACAAGAACAACUCAUUCUCAUUGAUGAAAAUAGGAUGGACACAACAUGUCAUGGUCAGCUGUAUCAAAAUAGGAUGGCCUACGCAUUCAACAGGAGAGUGAAACCUCCGUAGUUCAUACCGGGAAAACUGGUUUUGAUGAAAAUAUUCCCCCAUCAAGAAGAGGCUAAGGGGAAGUUUGCACCAAAUUAGCAAGAUCCUUAUGUGGUCCAUCAGUUAUUAACGGGAGGAGCAUUAAUCAUAGCAGAAAUGGAUGGCAGAGUUAGGUUUUUGUUGUAAUAAAACUACGCCCGACCUGACUUCCUACGGUGGGAUACGUAGGCAAUCCACAUAGGGUAUGAUCCAACUCUUGUAAUUGAAAACCAAAGAAUUAUUUUUAUGUAUUCGGGACUACGUCACGACUAGAUUUUUUUGGCGGGAAUACGUAGGCAAUCCAAAUCGGAUUUAGACAUCUAUUAUAAUUGAACUAUAUUUUGGCCUGAUUCCAUUUGCCUACAUGGGCAGUCUGAGUCAGACUCGGCCAUAUCAUUUCAAAUUCUACCAUUUGUCAUCUAUUGUAAUCAAACUAUGUUUUGACCAGAUUCCAUUUGGAUACGUAGGCUACCUAAGUUAGGCUCGGUCAUUUCAUUUCAUCAUUCUAUUAUUUCAUAUCCUCCAACUAUGUUUAGACAAGAUUCCAUUCGUAUACGUAUGCAACCUGGAAAAGUUUGCCCAUAACCAUAGGAAAGAUUUUGUAAUGCAUUACAUUGAUUAGAAAGCGAUCGAAUUAGCAACGAAGUCACGUCGUUGGGGACAUGUCUGAGACAACGUCAUCAUCAAGGCAGAGCCAUCUAGAAACGAUAUUUGCGUCAGAGGAAACUUCUAAACAUGUCAUAAUCAGGAAUGACGACUUUUGUCAUUAACAUAAACAAUUUUUCAAAAUGAAUUUUAAAGAAAAUUCAACUUUUCCACCUACCAAACGUCGUGGCGUAAUUUACCAAUUUCGGGGCAAGGCAAGGGUUCACGAUAAACACAAAUCAAUGCCCCUCCCCUACUAAGAAUUUUUCUUUGAUCGCAUGGUUGACAGAAAUCAAAGGAUGCCAGAAUGCACCAGAAUCAAUGCACACCCGCUACAAUCUCAUGAGCCUAUAUCUCACCUUUAAUUGUUCAAUUCAUUUUCUUAUAUAGCUAAGGACUAACUUUGAAUUCGUUGCAUGUUUCCUGGAGCGAAGCCUCCAACAUAAUCGGAACACCCUGUAUAUAUCAAACCAUUUGUUCUGUCCAUUGCAGCAUCUUGUACAUAUCAAACCGUCUGUUCUGUCAAUCGGAGCACCUUGUACAUAUCAUGUCGUCUUCCCCGCCAGUCGAAGUGCUUUGUACAAACUGCAUCAUCAGCUCUUCCAAUCUGAGCACUUUGUACAUAUUAUACCGUUACUCUGCCAAAUCGUAGAUUCCAAAUAGAUCGUUGCAAAUCUCAUCCCCGACGUCGCCAAUAGAAGGAUGGAUCAUUUAAUUUCACCAGACGUUCCGGUGAUCGACGACCACAAAUUAGUUCUGAAGUUAAGAGUAUAUCUUUGGCAUUCUCAUUUAUUCCUUUGAUUUACCUAGAGUUUUUUUGCGUUUUAUUUAUUCAGCUUAGAAGCAUUUUGCAUUCAAAGUUCAAAUACUCACAUCUUGUGGAGAUUGCAAUUCAAAGUCAAAUACUUUCUUCACGUGGAGAUACUCCCAUCGCGUGGAGAUUCAAAUUCAAUGCCGAAAUUCCCAUCACUAGGAAAUUUGAAGUCAAAUACUCCCAUCGCGUGGAUAUUCAAAUGCUCUGACAGUUGCGAAAAAGUACACAGUCGGCUAACAUUAAAGUCGGAUUCAAACACCCUUCCCCGGCUAUCCUAAAUAAUUCUCCAGAGCAUAGAGGCUUCAGAUUCAAACAUCCCAUUACCCAAAGAUCUCGAAUAACGACUAACCGAUAGUCAGGUAUUAUGAUUCCUGCAUAUUUACAUUAUAACCUAACAUAUUUGCAUUAUAAUAUCUAGGUAUGUGUGUAUCUUGCUUUUGCAGGUUCAAACACUACAACGUGGAACUUUCUCUAAGUAGCCAAAUAAGUUACACCUCUAUGAGGGACAACAAACUCAUAAGCGAGCCAAGGAUCUAAUCUCCAAUUCAAUUCGAUUAUUAGAACUCCAAAAAUGUCAAACUUCUAAAAUCUUAUAAUCAAGCUGCAAUUUAAAAGUCAUUAGGUUUUGAAAUCUUCCCAUCUUGCAGUAUUGUCAUAAGGCGAUAGUGGGCCAACUGCUGCAAGCACAAUUCUAUCCAAAUCACCAUCCAGAACUAUAUGAGGCCUGAUCCUCGUUAAGCUCGAGAUAUGUAGGAGACUCAAAGCCAUAAUUCGGCAGUAAUCUCACCACUCAUGAUCUUUCCUAAUUCCAUACACCAUCCUUGCAAUACAUGCCUAAAGUAGGGAAAAAUUAGUCAUUAAGUCAAUUUCUUUGCCAGCAAAAUCUUUUAUCGUCUCAUGUCAAAGAAGGGCAGUUGUUGACGAUCAAUUUUUACCCUCCCCUUUUACAUUAAAUUAUUUACACUUAUUAAUCAGCAAUAAAUAUAGUAAAGUAUUUUCGAAUCAAUAAUACCUUUUUUCUUAAAAUUUAAAUAAUUUAAUACAUAAUAACAAUUAGCAAUGUUUAAUUAAUAGUAAUUUAUAUUAGACAUUUAUAAAAUAUACUAUUCCUAUUGUUUAAAUUAAUUAAAAUAACUCUCAUAUAUUAAUGAACAAUUUUUAAAAUUAAUAUAAAAAAAUAGUCUCAAAUUUAUAACUAUAUUACCUUUAUUACUUUAGUUAGCCAAACUAAGUUUACACAGUUUAAUGGAUGAAGUAUUAUAUUUAAUGUCAACAACUAAUUAUUAUAGUAAUUAAUAAAAUACUUGAAUAAUUAUAUUUUAUUACAUCUAAUUAGGAUUAAUCAAGUAAAAUUAAUUUAAUUAUAAACGAGGUUAAAAACUCAAAAAGACUACAAUUACAAUUCAUUAAUUAAACUAAAUGUGGCUAUCAAUUAAAUCCUUACAUAGUUGAUUUGGCCCAAACACACAAGCCCAAGUGCCUUGACCCUGUCCGGAACCCCCCACCUCUAUCCAAGUUGCCAAUCCAUGCUACCCUUUUUAAGCCAAUCGAAAAGCGCCAUGUCACCUCUCUCCAACAUUCACACAAAAAGCACAAUGUAUCUGGACCGUUGAUAUCAACGGUCCAUGAUUAAGCUCAACUUUUCUCUUAUUUUUAAAAUCCUUUAGUAUUUUAUUUUAGCCAUUGGAUCAAAGAGAUCGGACGACCAUCGUUUUUUCGUAAUAAACCAUUUUAUUAAUUUUUAUUCUCCGAAUUUCGGAGACGUUGAUCAAAAGAUCCAACUACUCACAUUACAUAUCUCACUUUUAAUCUAAAUAACACGCCUAACCGUAAUCGUUUCCUCAACACCGGCCGUCCUAGUUUCCACUUUCUCUCCAUGUUCUCUCAAAUCCUGCAACCCCAUCAAUGAACACACGUUGCAUGAAUCGUGAAAGGUCACUCCAAUCAAACCUAAACAUACAUUUUAUUCCUGUAAGCUGCGAAUCCUGCUGAUCCCUUUCCCAAAUCCUCAGUAACCCAAGAUUUUUUUAUCCAACAAGAUCAUCCUUUCUUAAAAUUUUCAAUUGUAGGCAUGCACAGACAUUAUCUUUGGCCUCAUCAUCAUUAAUUGUUGUCCAGAAGUCAGAUGCAAUGACCUCUAGACAUUAGAUUUUGACCGAUGGUCCGAUUUCUUCAACAAUCAACCUCAACCAUUAUCGUGCUAAGGUAAAAUUCCCAUUGUUUUCCCCCUCUUUUUCUUAUGUUUUUCACCUUUUUGCUAUAAUCAUCUGUCAAUCGUCAUUCUCUACUGUCGGUUGAGUUCGAACGGAACCCUAGGUGGCUUCAAUGCCACUAUAAAUAGAGCAUUCAAUUACAUCACCUAAAACAACGAAAAACUACAUUGAAAGUAAAAAAGAGUAUUAAAAGUUUAAACUUUCAACUAAGUUUAAGUUCAAGCUGUACUUCUCUAAUUUCACUUUUUUCUUCCUUUAAUUUAGGUUCGGCUUCAACCUCUGUGAGUUGAUCGUUGUGACUUCUGGGUUCUUAAAUGGAUAUUAGCACAUCUGGCUUGGUUUGCUGCUCAACAGAAGGUCAGUGUACAAUGACCCCAUCUUUAUUUUAAAUUAUUUGUGUAGUCCUAUGUUCAUGAUAUUUUCCCUGUUAAUCAUUCAUUUUUUAUGAUAUAUAUUAGUGACGUAAGACUAUACGUGCUACGUUCUCCUUCUGCAUAUCACUAUCACUGUUGAAUUAAGGAUCUUCCUGAUAAGUUAUGUUGUCUUGUUACUGUUAUCAAAUCAGUUAUAUUAAUGAACUCCGUCUCUCAUGACUUAGGUAGUUGAGAAUGUUUUCUAUAUUGUUAGUACUCUUAAAUCCUAUUAGGACUUGGUGAUUAAUUGAACUAAAUCUUGUGAUAAUAGUACUAUGUAUGAUCUUUUCUUGUUAAUUAAGUAAUAGUCAAGUGUAUAUUGUUACACCCCAUGUUUUUGUACAUGAAUGUACGCCAUAAGUAAAUUGAUGGAAGCUCGGAAAUGAGAUGUUACAUCUCGCAUUUUCGUAUGUUAAAGUUUCGUCGUCAGUUAAUUGGUGUAGAAUCGGGGAUGAGAUUUUCUUGAGAUUAUAAGCAUAUAUGCUAUUUACAACAAGCAAUAAGUAACUGCCGUGAAAGAUAAAGGGUAAAUGAAUCAAAGAAAAUGAGUUUCAUUGAAGGUUGUUGAUUUGGGAUAAAAUAUAAUCCGAGCAAUAACACUCGGUACUUAUGGACUAAUGUCAUACAAGGUACUAUAUGACCGUGAUAGUAAGGUGUACAAGGUAUGUUAAAAGUGAAUAGUAUUUUAAGUAAGUUAAGAUAAUUCUUAAUUAUGUGGGUAAUGGGAUAUUACCUAAUUAAUUAGGAAUAUAUUGGAUGAGGAUUAAAAUUGCAUUAUGUGGCAGACCCCCCCCCCCUCUCCCCCCCUUCAAAUUAAGUGACUCAUAGAUCUAGUUGAAAGGUGGCAAGCUAAAGUGUUAAAUACAAGACACUACAUCCCUCUACGUGUAAAGACAUAAACGAUCUAGUAAUCUUAUAAUGUUUUCCUAUUGCAAAUAUUACAAAAAAGACGUUAAGAAUAUAUAAAGAAAAUUCAUAACAUCUUCAACCAAUUCCUAGAAGGAUUCCAGCGUUAGCAACCUCAAACCAACGAGAUUUCAACAAGAUUUCUUGAAACAAAAAUUCCAACGAGAAUUCUUAGCACCUUAGCAACGUGAGAUUUUGCGAUUCUAAGGGAGUACAGUGCAAACUUUUCCUACAAUAUCAUACGAAUUUUUUCCUACUCCGGGUAUGUUAAGGCUAAGCCCUUCCUUCAUUUUGGCAUGAUCUCAUAAUUACAUGUAUUUGAUAACGAGGCAUGACGAGAAGUUCAUACUCCUGAAUUUAUAUACAUUAUCCUAAUCUUAUAAAUUACAGUAUUCUCCUUAUCGGGACUUCAUAUUUAAUUGAGUAAUGUCGUCUUCCAGUCAAGAGAGAAGAGAGCCUAUAUUUAUACUAUUACGGUAUUUUCAUUACCAUCGAGCUAUAAUCGAUAGGCAGGCCCCUAUUGGGCAACCUCUGAUCAGAUAGUAAGUUAUAUACCAAGCCUACUGUGGUCGAGCGUCUAUGAGCGAGCCCAGCUGGCCGAGAUACAGAGCCUAGUAUGGCUGAGCGCCUAUGAGCGAGCUUACUAUGACAGAGCAGUUGUAUAUAUACCGAGCCUUAUUGGGCCGGAAAACUAUUUUACUUACUAUAUUGAGAGAGUUGAGUCAGUAUCAGCAAGUAAGCAUAUCUUCAGACUAUCUUUGACUCCUAGUUACUUUCAGUUAUUAUAUUAUCAAUUCAGUUCAACUUUCAGUAUAUAUUGCCUUACAUACUCGGUACAUUACUUGUACCGACAUCCCUUUUGCCUGGGGACGCUGCGUUUCAUGCCCGCAGGUCUCGAUAGACAGGUCGAGAGUCCUCCAAGUAGGCGAUCAGCUCAGCGAAAUAUGUUGGUGCACUCCAUUUGCUCUAGAGUUUUUUUUUUGGUCAAUAUGAUUUAGAUAUGUAUUGUUUGGUAUGGCGGGGCUCUGUUCCUACCCUUAUGACAUUAUGUAUUCUUAGAGGCUUGUAGAAAGAUGUCAUGUACGUAAAAGAUUGUAUGGUCUUGUCGGCCUAUGUUCAGUGUACGAGUGGUUAUUUUGGUCUUACAGGCCCAUAUGUCUUAUGUAUAAGUUGGUAUUACAUGUUGUAUUCUACCUAUCACACGGCAUCUCUCCGGCUCAGUAAUCUAUGAUAGUAUAAUACGAAAACAUACGUUAUAUUGGUACUCGGUUGAGUAAGGUACCAAGUGCCCAUCGCGGCCCAUCGAUUUGGAUCGUGACAUAUAUUUUCAUGAUGACUAAGUUGAAGGAAUCGAGCUUUUGGACCCGUCUUGAAGUUCUGCUGAUACCCGCUGCACUGUGCUAUCUUGAUCCUUAUGUCUAUGAUAUUAUGCUGCAUUAUUUUAGUUCCAAUAAAAUGAGUUUUCACCGUUGUUCAUACUUUCAUAUUGAUUUGUUUGACUCUAGUUGACAGCUUGUUCAUGCUACUAUUGUAAAAUAAUUUAUGUAUGUUUCUUAUGAUGAUUUGAGAUAAAAAAGAAAUCACAUAAUGAAAUUUGUUGGUGUGCUCACAUAUCAGGAGGUAGCUUGUUGGGAUUAACUUGUGUCUAUACUCAUCAUGCUGCUUGUACUAGUCCAGUAAUGUUCAUGAAUCUUCACAUUCUCUUAGUUUAGAAAAAUUCAUGUUUAAAUCAUCAUGUUUGCUUUCCUUUAGUCUCACGUUGAUCUUCCCAAAUGGUUAUGCCUGUUCUACUAUGCUAAUCGAGUUGUUUAGUUAAAGAGCCUCAAAUAGCAGUCAUGCUAGGUCUUAUAUUGGUUAUGUCUGGCAGAAAGAAAAUGGUUUCUAUGUUUAUCAUGAUAACCUAGUGAGGAUGUGGGUACAUCUUAACCUAGGGCACCACAGUAAUCAUACUUGUUCAUUUCAAACGAUGUUCUUCAUUCAUCUACCUGUUUAUUUUGGCUAUUUAUGCUUGUUAGUUCUUUCAGGAUCAUGUUAUGUCUAAGACACUAUUUGGGGGGAAGAUUAAAUAUUGCUAAAUUGAGUACUGCCGAUCUUAAUAACUUAACAACUUGAUUAAGUGUCGUUGAACAUGUAUUAUGCCUGUAUGGUCUAAAAUGGAAAGUGUAUUGGUGUAAUCUGCUAGUGAAAUUGCUUACAUGUUUAAGUAAACUUGUUGUGAUUUGUUUGCCCGGCUUUAACCAUCUGAGAGUAAAUAUCUUUACUUGUUGUCUCAUGUCUGUAUGACAUUGCUGUUUAUAGAGGACACUAAUCAUUAAUCUGAAGUUGUGUGGAACUGAUAACUUGAAAACCUGAUAGACUACAACUAGAUGUCAUGCCAUUAGGCCUAAACAACACUAAAACUAACCUUUCUAUUUACAUUUAGGCCUCUGCUGGUUGAUAUCUCUUUGGGAAGUCUGAAUUAGGUUGUUAAUAUAAGUGUUUAGUAAAGAAGGGUCUCAGUUAUGUAUAUGCUUGCUCCAAACUAUUCUGAGACCGUAGAGCUGCCUAUUGACCUACUCUAUGUGACUUGAACCUGUUUCAAAAGAUCCUGAAAUGUUUAACCUUCAAUAGAGUUAAUGAAACUAAUACAUAUGUCCUUCUUUGUCACUCACUGAUAUUAAGAUUACUUAAUGAGGUGUCUUUGAAUUUGAAGUGGUUAGCAAUAGGGCUUAUCUAUCGAUAGCAUACAGUCAACCUUCUUUGUUUGUCACUAAUCCUUAAUUGUGUUCUAUUAUUGAUCCUAUUUUGUGUACACCAAGACCUUAGUUGCCAUCAGAAUUUUAAUGAGCCAUGUUUAGUAACCUAUCCUUAUUAUUAUAACGACCCAACCAGUCGUUUUGAGAAUUUACAUUCCGUUCAGCUAUUUGAAGUCUUGAUCAGCAUCGUACGAUAUUUUAUGACUUGUGUGAAUCGUUAGUUUUUAUUUUUAGGUUAUUCAGAAUUGAUUUGGAAGACUGAUCUUAACUAGGAAGCUUUAAGCUGGAAGAGUUGAGCAAGUUUGACUUCUUAGUACUUGACCUCUGAUCAUAGUUUUGAUGUUUCCGUUAGGUCCAAUGGUGAUUUUAGACUUGGUCAUAUGCUUGGAUUUGAAUUUGGAUAUUUCUAGAAGGUUUCAACACUAUUUAGCGAAAGUUGGAAAUUUGAAGAUUUGAAAUGUUCAUAAGUUUAACUGGUAGUUGACUUUGAUGAUAUCGGGUUCGGAUUGUGGUUCCGGGAAUUGGAAUAGCUUCGUUAUUUUAUUUUGGACUUGUGUGCAAAAUUUAAGUUCAUUCUCAAUUGAUUUGAUUAGGUUCGGCACGAGUUUUGUUCUACGUUAUUUGAGGCCUCGAGUAAGUCUGUGUUAUGUUACGGGGCUUGUUGGUUUGUUCGGAUAGGGUCCCGAGGGGCUCAUGUGAGUUUCUGAUAGGCUUGGGUUCUGUUGCGCUCAUUUUUAAUAUUUCGACGUCGUUUAUUCUAGCAUAAAUGGUACCACAUUAAGAAACUGAGCUCCAAUUUCUGUUUUGAUUGAAGAAUUAGAUCCGUAUCAUAAUUCUAGAACAUAGAAACUAGAAUCAUCAAGUUUUGACAUCGUAUGAGGAAUUUAUAGUCAUUUCACUAUGAAUUGGGUUGACAAUUAUUUAUAGAUUAAUUACGAAAUUGCCACUGAUUUCGUAUUUAAAAAUCUGCACUAUUUUCAAAUAUUGAAACAUUAUAAGGUCAUUAUAAGGUCAAAUGGAGUGAUUUAAAAGCCUAACUUGACUGGAAUUGCACAAGAAAACCAUUGGAGGCAUCAAAAGCGAAUUCCGGGAUCGUUUGUCAUAAGAAACGAGGCAGAACAACUAGGUAGAAACAUAUAGUAUCAUGGAUUUGUCCAUUUGGUCAUAUUUUGACUUGGGGAGGUCGGAUUUGGGCGAUUGUGGAGGCGAUUUUCACCACAUGGAUUGGGUUUUGAGUCGUUCGGAGAAUGGUACGCAUGGGAUGGCAUUUCUAGAGUAUUGUUUAGCUUGCUCGGUAUUGGAUUUGGCUUGUUCGAGGUAAGUAACACUUCAAAACUUGGUACUGAGGGUAUGAAUCCCUAAAUAUACAUGUUAUGUAUUAGUAUUGAGGUGACGCACAUGCUAGGAGAUGGGUGUGUAGGCUUGCACCAUGUGAAUUAUGACUCGGUUGAUUCUAUGGUACUGUGUAGUUAUCUAUCUUGUUUCUUUACAUGUAAUUCCUAUGUGUUGG